rnacentral:lncRNA from 1 species
UAUAUUUGGGGGGAUAGACUACUUUAUGAAGAUACCACAUGAGUGGUUGGGGGAUAGACGCAUAAGGAAAGAGAUAAACACACAUUUAUUCCUUACAUGAUGCAACUGUCCAGUUCUCUUCCUAUAUAAAGGCCGUAAAACUCCCCAUCAUUUCUCACACAUCAAAUCAUAAAUCAAAAUCAUUAUUCUGAAAUAGUAGUUGCUAUUGUUUCAGAUCUAGGGUUUCUUAUUUCUUCUGUCGGCUGGAGUGAAUUGCAUCCCAAUUAAAAUCUAGGUUAACGACAUAAAGGGGUAAAUAAAGGGAGGUGACAGAAGAGAGUGAGCACACAUGGUAUUUUCUUGCAUAUGAUAUGCUUGAAGCUAUGCGUGCUCACUGCUCUAUCUGUCACCCCUAUCACUCUCUCUCUCUAGAUUUUCUUCUGUUCUAUGUAUGCACGCAUCUGUGUUCGUGAACAUAUGGUAUUAUUUGUAUGGUACUCGGGAGCGGACCUAGGGGCUGAAGGGGUUUAAUCGAAUACCCUUCUCGCCAAGGGAGGUGACAGAAGAGAGUGAGCACACAUGAUAUUUUCUUGCAUAUGAUAUGCUUGAAGCUAUGUGUGCUUACUGCUCUAUCUGUCACCCCCACCACUCUCUCUGUAGAUUUCUUUCUGUUUUAUGUAUAUAUGCGCAUGUAUGUUUAUGAAAAUAUGGUAUUAUUAGUACUCAGGAGCAGACCUAGGGGGUGAAGGAACUUCCGAGCAUCCUUUGUCAAAAAAUUACUCAAAUAAAAGGAGGUGACAGAAGAGAGUGAGCACAUAUGGUGUUUUCUUGCAUGAUAUGUUUAUCCCAUGCCUGAAGCUAUGCUUGCUCACUGCUCUAUCUGUCACCCCCAACACUCACUCUAUCUCUCUCUAGAUUUUUUUAUUUGUGUAUUCUAUGUAUGGAGCUAAUCAUACAUGGGUAUCUAUUGAGGUAAUUGUUUUUUCUUUUCAUGAUGUUGAUUCAUAUUAAUUGGAUCAGUGGACAAUGGAUUGAUAAUUUACAUAGUUUCCUUGUUUUAUUAUUUGUGUAUCUGUGUAUACCAUGGGCUGUUGGAUAGUGAAAUGCUUUGCAAAUUUGUGCAGCUUUUCUAUGUUUUUUUCCUCAUUGAUUCAUCUCGAAUCUCUCUGUUUUUCCUUAUACACCUGGGUUUUAGGAGUUUUUGGUGGCAGCUGGGGUUUGUUAGUGAAUAUUCUUUUGGUGAUAGGAAAAACCUAGUCGUUUACCCUUAAAACGGAUAAUAUAUGAAUUUAUACGUGGUUUCAAGGAUAUGUGGACUGAUUCAACACAAAUAAGAUAAUCAAAAAAGCUAGAUAAAUGAGUUAAAGACACGAUGAAUAAUCAAACCAGUCGUAAUGUUAUUGCCUAGCUUGACCUUGCAUUGGGUUGUGUCCUUGAUUCGGAGCCAGUCAAGAACAACGAACAAAAGUAAAGUAAAGACUUUGCAAUAGCUGGAAAGCAGAGAAAUGAGCUUGUAUUAUUUGAAAUAAAGGCUUCCCUUUUAUAUAGUAGGAGAGUUUCAUCUUUAGUAUAUUUCUAAAAAAAGGUAAAAAUCCUCCUUUCUCGUUAAUUACCAAUCUGUUAUCAAUAUUGGGCGAGAUCUGCGUCGUGAUAUCCGAUUGGGUGCGGAUAUCACGGCCCUUCAUUAGUUGUGUGCAACCAUUUGCCAUGUUUUCCGAGGUCUUGGAGCUCGUUCGGGAUCCGAGGAGUAUUGUCUUAUCAGGCCCGAUGGUAAGCAUUCCGUUUGGGCCUCAGUAUAAUAAGUUCCCAACUUCGAUUCCGAUCCCAUAUAUUCAUACCCUUGCUUCGUUUGACCCACCGAGAAAUCGAAGUGUGUUAGACCCGGUUUCACCCGUAUACACUAGGAAAAUUCUGUUUUUCAAGUUUAAAUGGAAUUCCAAUGUUUCUGCUGUUUUCUUUUUCCAGAAGAUUGAAUUGAUUGUCUAGCUAGUUUUUCACUUCAAGAAUUGAUGGUUUAGUAACUGAGACAUGUCUCAGUGUCUUCCAUAAUUAAUGAUCCAAGAAGAUACCAAUCAAUUCAAAUGUAAAGUUGAGAUCAUGAAGAUUUGCUGAUUUUCUUUUUAAGCAGUUAUAUUUGACUAAACUUGUCGAUGCCAAAAGGAAAAGAAACACGGUUUUAUCUCAACAAGAAGUGGUGGUUGAUGCAGACAUCUCUAGUUUUUUGUUUUUUAGCUUAAAAUAGUGGAGCUCUCUCUCUUUUUAUGCAUGCACCAACAGAAAUCAAAUUGUGGAUUAUCUUCUUUUUUCUAAUAACGGUAGUAUUCAAAUCAAUUUAUAUAUUCUAUCAGAUAUCACUAAGCAGUACAAAAAUAUCAGAUAAUUCUAUCUAUCAAGGCUUAAAUAAAUUUUUUUAAAAAUCAUCUUAGUUUUUAUCUUUGUUAGUCUUGAACGGUGAUCUGUUACUACACUUUUCACUCAUUUCAUUGGUUGUUGGCCACAUCCUAUUAUAGAUUAUGACAUCCAACAAUAAGCAAAUCCUCCUGACACUAAUCGUAAAUUCGAUUCAACAUGAAAAAUCAUCACUUGCUGUUGGAUUCCAGCUUCAGAUUAAUCCAUCAUUUUCAAGAUCCCCUCUUUGAUUGAUACAAAUUUUAGUUGGACAAAACUCAAUAGGAUUUUUGGUUAAUUUCCUAUCUUAUUAUACCCUUUUUCGUGCUUUGUCAUCUAGUACGUUUGUGUGUAUGUGCUUCAAUCCUUGUAAGUUUAUCUAAUUUUUAUGAAGUGACUGGACAUUAGUUCUAGCUAUCAUUAGUUAGCUUUAAUUUGUUUCAAUAAAGUUAAUUAUAUGUGUCUGCAUGACUUUUUCAUAAUUAUUCUCGAGAAACUCAUUUAGUUCAUACUUGAAAUAUAUUAAAUUAAGCACAUAAUAAUUAAGAUAUAUGAAUUCUAGCUUAUUUUUCCAAAACAUCUACCGGAUUGCUUUUGUCUUCUCGUGUAGGAACAUUUGAUCAAGAUUACAGUUUUCUGAACCAGAAACUAUGCUAGUGUUUGGACAUAGUUUGAGUUGAGACUUCAAAAGAGUUUUUUGUGAUAAAACAAUAAAAAGUUUGAGUUGAGACUUCAAAAGAGUUUUUUGUGAUAAAACAAUAAAAGUAGAAGAACAAUAUUACAGAGAAAGAGAGAGUAAUUCUUAUUGAAUUUUGGGAUUAUUUACAAUGGGAUAAGACCCCUCUAUUUAUAGGGGAAAAAUAACUUAGCCCCAAAGUCAAACUCUCUACAAGAUAGACAUUCACUCUAAAUAGAAUUCUAUUCAUAACACUCCCCCUUGAAUGUCUACUCGAUAAUUAAUGUGCCUCAUUAAAACCUUAACUAAAAUAAAACUCAAUGGGAAAAAAAUUCUAGAAAAGGAAAAAGAGUACACAUGUUUAAUAAUACGCCUUUUGGUUGCCAAACCUUGCAAGGGAAACCCAGUGGGACAAAACCUUGUAAGAAAAAAUGAGUGCAACGCGCAUUAACUCUCCCUGAUGAGAGCAUCAAUUCACAUCCUUGAGCCUUCGCAUCCCGAUUUUGUACACUAGUUUCUUGAAGGUUGACGUCGGUAGAGAUUUUGUGAACAAAUCAGCCAUAUUAUCACUUGAACGAAUCUGUUGUACAUUGAUAUCACCAUUCUUUUGAAGAUCAUGUGUGAAAAAUAACUUCGGUGAAAUGUGCUUUGUUCUAUCUCCUUUUAUGAAUCCUCCCUUCAAUUGAGCUAUGCAUGCUGCAUUAUCUUCAUACAAAAUUGUGGGUAAGUUGUCACAUUUCAAACCACAUUUGUCUCGAAUGAUGUAUUAUAGACCCCAACCACACACACUCUCGACUUGCUUCAUGAAUAACAAUUAUCUCAGCAUGAUUAGAUGAAGUAGCCACAAUUCAUUGAUUAGUCGAUCGCCAAGAUAUGGCAGUGCCUCCACAGGUAAAUACAUAACCUGUUUGAGACCGAGCCUUGUGUGGGUCAGAUAAAUACCCAUCAUCAACAUAACCAACCAGAUUGGCACUACAAUUGUUGCCAUAAAAUAAGCUCAUAUCGGUAGUCUCUUUUAGAUACCACAAUAUGUGUUUGAUUCCAUUCCAAUAUCUCCUUGUAGGAGCAGAGCUAUAUCUUGCUAAGACAUUAACUGGAAAAAUUAUGUCAGGCCUUGUAGUAUUAGCAAGAUACAUUAGUGCACCAAUUGCACUAAGAUAUGGUACUUCAGGACCAAGUAGCUCUUCAUUCUCUUCUUGAGGUCGGAAUGGAUCCGUAUUCACAUCAAGUGAUUGAACAACCAUCGGAGUACUUAAUGGAUGUGCUCCAUCCAUGUAAAACCGUUUCAAUAUAUUUUCUAUGUAGGCAGAUUGAUGAACAAAAAANNNNNNNNNNNNNNNNNNNNNNNNNNNNNNNNNNNNNNNNNNNNNNNNNNNNNNNNNNNNNNNNNNNNNNNNNNNNNNNNNNNNNNNNNNNNNNNNNNNNNNNNNNNNNNNNNNNNNNNNNNNNNNNNNNNNNNNNNNNNNNNNNNNNNNNNNNNNNNNNNNNNNNNNNNNNNNNNNNNNNNNNNNNNNNNNNNNNNNNNNNNNNNNNNNNNNNNNNNNNNNNNNNNNNNNNNNNNNNNNNNNNNNNNNNNNNNNNNNNNNNNNNNNNNNNNNNNNNNNNNNNNNNNNNNNNNNNNNNNNNNNNNNNNNNNNNNNNNNNNNNNNNNNNNNNNNNNNNNNNNNNNNNNNNNNNNNNNNNNNNNNNNNNNNNNNNNNNNNNNNNNNNNNNNNNNNNNNNNNNNNNNNNNNNNNNNNNNNNNNNNNNNNNNNNNNNNNNNNNNNNNNNNNNNNNNNNNNNNNNNNNNNNNNNNNNNNNNNNNNNNNNNNNNNNNNNNNNNNNNNNNNNNNNNNNNNNNNNNNNNNNNNNNNNNNNNNNNNNNNNNNNNNNNNNNNNNNNNNNNNNNNNNNNNNNNNNNNNNNNNNNNNNNNNNNNNNNNNNNNNNNNNNNNNNNNNNNNNNNNNNNNNNNNNNNNNNNNNNNNNNNNNNNNNNNNNNNNNNNNNNNNNNNNNNNNNNNNNNNNNNNNNNNNNNNNNNNNNNNNNNNNNNNNNNNNNNNNNNNNNNNNNNNNNNNNNNNNNNNNNNNNNNNNNNNNNNNNNNNNNNNNNNNNNNNNNNNNNNNNNNNNNNNNNNNNNNNNNNNNNNNNNNNNNNNNNNNNNNNNNNNNNNNNNNNNNNNNNNNNNNNNNNNNNNNNNNNNNNNNNNNNNNNNNNNNNNNNNNNNNNNNNNNNNNNNNNNNNNNNNNNNNNNNNNNNNNNNNNNNNNNNNNNNNNNNNNNNNNNNNNNNNNNNNNNNNNNNNNNNNNNNNNNNNNNNNNNNNNNNNNNNNNNNNNNNNNNNNNNNNNNNNNNNNNNNNNNNNNNNNNNNNNNNNNNNNNNNNNNNNNNNNNNNNNNNNNNNNNNNNNNNNNNNNNNNNNNNNNNNNNNNNNNNNNNNNNNNNNNNNNNNNNNNNNNNNNNNNNNNNNNNNNNNNNNNNNNNNNNNNNNNNNNNNNNNNNNNNNNNNNNNNNNNNNNNNNNNNNNNNNNNNNNNNNNNNNNNNNNNNNNNNNNNNNNNNNNNNNNNNNNNNNNNNNNNNNNNNGUGCCCGUAAUCGAAUAUUUGUGCCAUAAUUUUGCAAACGCGAGGUUGCGAGAUGACAAUAGGAACACAUGGGACCAUCUAGAAGAUGCAUCUAUUAAGACCAUAAAAUAUCUAAACGACCCACUAGGUGGGUGAAUAGGUCCAUAAAUGUCCCCUUGUAUACGUUCCAAAAAUGCAGGGGACUCAAUUCCAACCUUUGUUGGUGAUGGUCUAAUAAUUAACUUGCCUUGAUAACAUGAAGUGCAAGAAAAUUCAUCAUUUAAAAGAAUCUUUAUAUUCUUUAAUGGAUGCCCAUUUGAGUUUUCUAUAAUUCGUCUCAUCAUAAUCGAUCCAGGAUGUCCCAAUCGAUCAUGCAAAGUACAAAAGUAUUGGAAUCAAUAACCUUUUGGUUUACAAUAGAAUGUGCCUCAAUUGCACUAAUUCUUGUCCAAUACAUGCCACAAGAUAAAGAUGGGAACUUCUCAAUAACCCUCUUUUGGCCAGAGACAUUCUUGGUAAUGAUGAGAUAUUCAAGAUUAUUCUCAUCUAUUGUCUCAAUAUGAUAUCCAUUUCGACGGAUAUCUUUAAAACUCAACAAGUUCCUCUUAGACUUGGAGGAGAACAUUGCAUCUCUAUGAUAAGUAUUGUUCCCUUAGGCAGAGUUAUAGUAGCUCUUCCAGAGCCUUCAAUUAAUUUACUACUACCAGAAAUUGUAGUAAUAUCUGUCUUACACAUAUUUAAAUGAGAGAAAUAUUUCUUCUUUUUGAAUAUUGUAUGUGUCGUACAUGAAUCAAUUAAACAAAUAUUUUACAAUUGAACUUUGAUCCAAGUUUGCUUUGAGAGAUAUCCAUAUUCGCUUCCCAUUGUUUGACAUACAAAAGAAAUAUACGAAUUAAUAUUAGUAUUUUCAGAGAAAAAGAAAAAAUAAAUAAAGUUAAAUCAAUGAUUCAAUAAUGACCUUUUAAUGCAAUUUCGACCUUUUAAUGCCUUUCUCAGUUUAGUAUGUCUCUGCCAAAUAUGCUGCUACUCAGGUUCUAAUCGUUUUUGGCGGACACUGACGGUGACGGUCAAGCACAAAUUGCAAGCCCGCCAACUCAUAUAAGAAGUCCUUUUGAGUUAACUUGGCUAUCUUCAUAAACCUCUUGUAUGUGAAAUAUAAUCUACAAUCACCGACUCUAGAAAAUCUACUGAAUCUUCUUGAGACGGUAGAGUCUCGUGCUGAUAACGUGUGAUAAAACAAUAAAGUAGAAGAACAAUAUUACAGAGAAAGAGAGAGUAAUUUUUAUUGAAUUUUGGGAUGAUUUACAAUGGGGUAAGACCCCUUUAUUUAUAGGGGAAAAAUGACUUAGCCACAAAGUAAAACUCUCUACAAGAUAGUCAUUCACUCUAAAUAGAAUUCUAUUCAUAACAUUUUAAAGUUUUAUGAGUGGAGAAAUAAUUUUCACCCAAAAACUUGCAUAAAUCAAUUUUGGGAACUUGAAAAACAAUUUCUAAAUUUUUUUCAGGAACUGGUCAAAUUCCCCGAACAAAUAAUGAUUUUAAUUUUUUUUUAAAAUAGCCAAAAUAUAUAGCCAAACUAUAUGCAGUCAGACAUCUCUAUAAUAGUAUCGAUAUAUAACAAUCAUUCAUUAUAAAAUCUAGUUAUUUAUGAAAUCAAUUUUUAUGUUAUGUUAUAAUAUAUGUUCUCUAUAAUAACAUUUCAUUAUAACAAGCAAAAUAAUUAGGAGCAAAUGAGGCUGCCACAGAUAGAUUUGUCUCACACUAUCUCAUCAACGUACUUUAGCUUGUACUUUUAUUAUUUUCUAUUUUCUAUUUUCCUUUUUGACAGGACAGUUUGCUAUGCCGUACCUAGUUUGAGACAGUUCUCUUUCUACAACUUUUGCUCGCCUAUUCAAUUUAUUUUAAACAAUAUAUUUCUAUGAGAUUAGAGAUAAAAAGAAUGCAUUAAUAAUCUCUUGCACAAUUGGCUAAGCACCGCAAAUAGGUAUAUUUCUAUCCGUAUUCGCACAAUGACUAGGUUCAAGAUCGUGGUCUAUUCAAUCAUAUUGCAAUCAAGAAUUACUUCUUUCAAGUUCAACUCAAGAUUCAUUUAUUUAAGUUUACUGUUAGCUGGACAGUGAAAUAAUUAGGCUCAAUAUAUGAAUAAACAACUCAAUAUGAUAUAUUAAAUCAUCAAAUCAAUCUUUGAAUAUCAACAUUCAUGUAAAACCAUAAUCCCAGAAUAAAUGAGUUUAGCCAUGCAUAGUCAUUGUAGCAAUCUUAAUAGAUUCCCAAGAAUACAUAAAAAUCAAUAAUAGAAGGGAAAAAGAAGGACUCAAGAUGAAUUCCACGAUUUCCGAACUGUAUUAUGGAUUUUCUCUGCUUCCAAGUGUGCUCUUGCCUCUCCAAAGUCUUCUCUCCCUUCAAAAAGUGGCUAACUAUCAUAUUUAUAUGAUUUACAAUUCAGUUGGGGCGAAUUUGGCUUUUCCUAAUUCGGAUUAGAGAAGCUGAUUUUUUUUGUUGCUCCCGUCCCGGUUUGGAGAAAUGAUGUCAAGAGGCUUCAGCUAUGGCGGUGACAAGAGAAGAAAUGUGAGUAAAAAGAGGAAAUGAGAAAAAGCAGAAGCAAUUAUUUACUUCAUUGAGCAGAAAAAUAGUCAUUGUUACAUUGAGCUAAGAACUAAGCUACUAUUUAUUCAUUUGUUAGUUAUAACUAACUCAACUACUAUGUAUAGUGUAAUACUAACUAAUCUACUAACUGUAAUUUAGUUAAAUAGGUGGGGCCUAUAUUUCUCAACACUCCCCCUCAAGCUGAGGGAUGAAAUACAUUCUUCAUUCCCAGCUUGCUUAGUAAGUAGUCAUGUUGUAGUUUGCACAAGGCAUUUGUCAGCACAUCUGCUAUUUAUUCUGUUGUACCCACAUGCUAAGUUUGAAUAAUCCCUUGUACUAGUUUUUCUCUUACAAAAUGACAAUCAAUAUCUAUGUGUUUAGUUCGUUCAUGAAAAAUUAGAUGUGUAGCAAUUUGGAUUGCUGCCUUGCUGUCACAGUGUAGAGGCACAUGCAGAGCAAUAUCCACUCCUAACUCCUUGAAAAGUCCAACCAACCACACAAUUUCAGCUACUGUGGUUGCCAUGCUUCUGAACUCUGCUUCAACUGAGCUUCUUGAUAUUGUUCCUUAUUUCUUUGACUUCCAGGAAAUCAGUGCAUAUCCAAAAUUAACCACAUACCCUGUGACUGACCUGCUAGACUCAACACAAGCUUCCCAAUCUUCAGAAUCACUAUCUUUCACUACUUGAUCAAACUCAACAGAAGUAAGUUUUUGAUUAAACUCCAGAGGUGUAUAGGCUGGUUUACCUUCUGCUAGGCCAAGUUCAGAUACCAAUUCUAGGGCAUAUUUCCUUUGACACAUUAGGAUACCCUUUUGAGACCUUAAGAACUCAAUGCCAAGAAAAUAUUUUAGCUCUCCUAGAUCCUUCAUUUUAAACUUCUCCUACAAAUCUUUUCUGACUUGCUUAAUAAGAAGUAAGUUGAUGCUAGUUACCAACAAAUUAUCCACAUAAACUAGGAUGACUACAAGAUCAGCUCCUAUUCUUUGGUGAAGAGGGAAUAGUCAUAGUGGCUUUGAGUAAAAUCCAUGUCUAGGAGUGCCUCUGUUAGCUUAAAAUUCCACUAUCUAGGUGUUUGCUUCAAUCCAUACAAAGACUUAUAUAGUUUACAAACCUUUUGACUCUCCCCCUGGCUUGAAAAGCCAUCAGGAACUUGCAUGUAGACCUCUUCUUAAAGGUUACCCUGCAGGAAUGCAUUAUGAAUAUCCAUCUGAAAAAUUUACCAACCAGAUGCAGCAGCUAGUGCAACUACAGCCCUCCCUGUGACCAUCUUGGCCACAUGGGAGAAUGUGUCUGUAUAGUCCAGGCCUUCCUGUUGACUGUAGCCUUUGGCUACUAGUCUAGCUUUAUAUCUUUCCACAUCACUAUUUACACUACAAAAAAAACUGAAAUUAGCUAUGAUCAUCAUCACUAACGCCCGUAGCUAGCAGAAUUUCUUGAUAAUUCGUUGCUAAUCCGUCGCUAAAUGAGAUUAGCAAUGGAUUUUUCUAUUUAGCUACAGAAGUUGCUCGUCGCUAAAAUCAAAAUUUUUAGUAGUGUUAGACUUAUACUUAACCUUGAAAACCCACUUUCACACUAUAGGAACCUUCGCUUGAGGUAGAUCAACCAAGGACCAGGUAUUAUUGUCUUGUAAUGUUGAAAUCUCAGCCUGCAUAGCUUUAAUCCACUUUGGAUCAGCACUUGCUUCUUUGAAUGUUCUGGGUUCAACAAUAGCUAAUAUGCAGCAAGAGAAGCCCUGUAGUCUAAAGACAGUUGAUUGUAAGAGACAAGUUGUGAUACAGGAUAGGGACAAGUAGAUUUCAUGGGCUAAACUACAUAAUCAGUUAGCCAUAUAGGAGGUUUAGAAGUCCUAGAAGAUCUUCUAAGACCUUCAUGAGAGACUGAGGGUGCAGGAGGAGGAAUAAGGGGGGGGUUGGUUCAGAAUUGCCACCAUAGAGAGGACUUGAAGGAGAAGACAUUUGUUGAGCAUCAAAAGCAAGUAAAUCUGAGAUAGAUACAGGUUGGCUAGCACUCUUUUUGAUUGAUGCAUUAGCGAACUCUAGUAUAGGAAAUAAGGGAGAAGUUCCAAGUUGCAUGUGCUUAAAGGGAAAAAUGUCUUCCUUGAAGACAAUAUCUCUACUAACAAAGAAGCCCUUGGAAUGUAGAUCAUAGAGAAUAUAGCUCUUUUGAGAAGAUGAAUAUCCCAUAUGAACUGCUGGAAUUGUCCUAGGACUGAACUUAUCCCCCUUUUCACUUUUGUGGUGUAGCAUAAGCUACCAAACACUCUCAGAUGUUGUAAAGAAGGUAUCUUCUUAAAUAGUGCUUCAAAUGGAGACUUACCUUGAAGAAGACCAGUAGGUAAUCUAUUUAGUAGAUAUACAAUUGUAAACACAUACUAAACCCAAAAUCUUAGGGGUACAAAGGCCUGAAAUCUGAGAGCUCUAGCCAUAUCCAAUAUAGUUCUAUGCCUUCUCUCUACUACCCUAUUUUGUUGGGGUGUAUAGACACAGGAACUCUGAUGAAGAAUUCCCAGAUUGUGCAACAGAUGAUGAACUUAAUCAUUCACAAAUUCAAUGCCAUUGUUAGUUCUGAGGCACUUGACUGCAGUUAAACUGAUUUGACACCAUUGUAAGAAAGUUCUUUAGAACUACAAUUGUGUCUGCCUUAGUAGUUAAUAGGAAAUCCAAAUAUAUUUUGAGAAAUCAUCCACCAAGGUUAAAAAAUAUCUCUUGCCAUCAUGACUUGGUAGUCUAUAUAGACCCCAAACAUCUGCUUGAACAAGAUAAAAAAUAGGAGUAGAUCAAGAUGUUCUAAGAGGAAAAGGUAGCCAUGAUUACUUUGCAAUAGGACAUACAGUACAAUGCUAAUGUUCAGUUAUAAGCAACCCUUGAAGAUUAUGUAGUUUCUGCAGUACUUUUAGAGGAGCAUGUCCUAACCUUCUAUGCCACAAAGAGAAAUCAUUACAUGGACUUGUAUUAUUCUGGCUACCAGUCUUAUUUGUGCUAACAAUAGUAUUUACACUUGGUGAUAUAUGAUGUUCAGGAGUUCGUCUCUCUGCAGCCUUGAGGAUAAAGAGUCCAAGUUCUUCUCUACCAAUCCCCAGUACCUUACCACUGAAGAUUUCCUAAAAGACACAAAAGUCAGGAAAGAAUGCCACCAAACACCUUAACUCUUUUGUGAUCUUAGAUACUGAAAGUAAGUUAUACUUGAAAUCUGCAAUGUGAAGUAUAUUCUGACUUUUCUUAUUUAUGAAGAAAGAACAAAUUCCAAUAUGUGUAAUAGAAGCUUGUUCGCCAGUAGGCAAUUGGACUUUAUUUUUAUCCUUCUCUGAUACUUCUUUAUAAGAGUCCAAUAGAUUUAGACUAUGCACCAUGUGAUUAGAUGCUCCUGUAUCUACUAUCCAAUUAUGAUCCACCAAAGUAGACAUAAAAGCAUGUAAUAUACUUGAUGUCCAUGUAGUAGCUAAGUUAGCAAUAGGUUUAGUAUCUUUGCCCUUGUUCAGCAUCUGCAGAAUUUGUUGAUAUUGCUCUGGAGUAAAGAACCGAUCUGGAGCAGCAUAAUUCAGUUGAUUUCCUUGUGUGUCUGAAGGCAGAUUUCCAUAAUUAUUCUCCAUAUGAUUCAUAUUGUUGUUCACAUUAUUUGCUUGAGCAUUGAAAGUACCUCCUCUUCUCUUAUUCUUGAAAUCACUAGGAUAUCCAUGAAGCUUGAAACAGUUUUCCUUUGUAUGACCUUUACACUUACAAUACUCACACUGAACUGUUGAUUUGUUGAAGAAAUUCUUAGGUUUGUAACCUCCAGAGUAGCCAGUGUUAGUGUAACCUCCAGAAGUAUUAUAUACUCCAUUCUAACCACUAUUAUGGGCUCUAUUACUCAUCAUGGUAGUAGCUUCAUUGUUAUCAUUAGAAUUAUUCACAUGUUUUCCAGUAAUCCUUUAACUUUCUACAUUGAUUAUUAUGGCAUAAACUUGGUUUAGAUUGGGUAUUGGUCUAGUCAUAAGCACCUGAUUUUUGGCAUUUUUAUAGGUGUCAUUGAGACCUGUCAGAAGCUGAUGGUGUUCUAUAUGUUUCUGUGAUGCAAGACAACCACAUGAAGGUGGUGGAGUAAGUGUUUCAUACUCAUCCCAGAGUUCUCUCAAAUGAGAGAAAUACACCACAGAGGAUACUUCUUGUGUCAAAGUAGCAAUUUCUUUAUAUAGAUAAGCAGCUCUAGAUGCAUUUAAUUUUUCAAAUCGUUCCCUUAGAUUUUCCCAGACAGUAUAGGCAUCAGAAGCAUAGAUGACAGUGCUAAUCAAGUUUGGUGCCACAGUAUUCCUAAUCCAUGCAAUACUAUUGCAUUACACCUCAUAGAUCAUGAAGACUAACAUCAUAGUUACUUUUUUUGCAGGUGCCUAAGACAAAACCUGAUUUGUUUUUACCAUGCAACACAAUUUUCAAAGAUCUACUCCAAAUAUAGUAGUUUUUAGAACCUUGUAGCUGAAUAGAUAUGAGAACAGAACCUUGUGUAUCGGAUGGAUGAAUGUACAGAGGAUGAUGAUGAUCGACUUGAUCAACUGAUUAUGCGAAGGUCUGAUUAUCAGCAACUUCUUCAUUGGCCAGCAUUAUUGCAGGCAUUGAAGGAAAAUAUCUGAGAAUUCUGAGAUUGAAUAGAAAUGCAGCUAUUGACAGUCAAUUGAGGCUCAAUCGAACAAAUCUCUAAACCCUAGCUUGCGAGGAGUGAGAUCCAGAUUGAGAGUUGGCUCAAUUUAUCAGAUUUACUUAGGUAAUUGACUCAAUUAAAUCUGUCACAACUGAGCUAACACUCGUUUAACUGAGCUAUGAUACCAUGUCAAGAGGCUUCAGCUAUGGCAGUAACAAGAGGAGAAAUGUGAAGAAGAAGAAGAAGAAGAAGAAGAAGAAAAAGAGGAAAUAAGAGAAAGCAGAAGCAAUCAGUUACUUCAUUGAGCAGAAAAAUAUUCACUGUUACAUUGAGCUAAGAACUAAGCUACUAUUUAUACACUUGUUAGUUGUAACUAACUCAACUACUAAUAUAGUAUAAUGUAAUACUAACUAAUCUACUAACUGUAGUUUAGUUAAAUAGGUGGGGCCUACAUCUCUCAAUAAGCGAACCUUGCUUUGCUGUCCCAGAUUUCUGUCUCUAGCUUUUCUUUCGCCAAUUUUGAUCAUAUUUGAUCCUUUUCCGCGCAAGUUCGUUCCUACACAUAAGAAACACGUAAUGAGCAUAUUUUUACUUCAAAAUAGUGUGAGCCCCCGCAACUCACACAAAAAUUAAUAUGAAAACACAUUCAAAACAUGCACUUUUCACCCUUCAUCACAUUACUUUCUUUUGGUUUUUCUUUUCAAAAUAUUGCACGUUACAAAAAUUUCUUAGUUAAACAGCGGUAGUUUCAUUUUCUAAUUAACAUUUCUGUGUUCAGAUUUGAGUAAUAAUGCUAAUCACAUGCAGGAAGAUUGAGUGCCCUUCUGUUUUUGCUGUCUCAAUGAAAAAAACAACCAUUUUCUGAGAUCUCUUAUUAGGGAACCAUACUGCCAUUAAUUCAUAAUCGUCUAUGAUCGAUUGUUUAAUAUUUUUUUGGUAAUUAAAGUUAGUUCCUUUUUCUACUUUAAUAUAUUCUGUCGAUCUAAAGCAACAGUAUUGUUAACUACGUACUGUUGCUUUUCCGGCGCAAUUAUAUUAAACUCAAAACGAAUAGAUAAUGAAUGCAUAAAAGUUCUCUGCUUUUUGUGACAUUUUUAAAGAAAUUUGCAGGACUUGUGCAUAGAUGCUUAAGUUGUUUUGAUAAUUAACUUGACGGUGUUCCCAGCAAACUUUGCUGUAAUAAGAAAAUAGACCCUAUAUAUUGGCUCUUAAUUCUUACACUUGAUUUUACGUUAUAAACAAAACAAAAAUAAGUACAUAAUGAGAUGAUUAAUGUUGACAUUUUCUGAUGAUCCUUAUGUAGUUAUUUCGUUUCGUGUGUAUAAUCUCAAUCAAUUCAGCUUUAGCGUCUAUUGCUGGUUAUAUCUCGAUAGACGUAUUUCAGAAUAUAUAUUUUUUUCCACUUAUUGGGAGUGGAAUUAAGCUAGGUGUAAAAAGACCAGAAAAUUGGACUUGGCCCAGCCAAUUAAGAACAAUUUGGACUUCUACUUUGCUGAAAUUUAAAAAUAGCUAGAUUUACAAGUGGUCAUUCAAAAAUAGUCACAGUUUCAAAAGUCAUCGAAAUUUCGCCACUUUUCAUGUAAAGAUAAAACUAAACGAAAACAUUAUUCAAAAUCCGGAAAAUACUCUAGCAUAAUAUACUAGAAUUCUAGUAUAAUAUACUGGAGCCAGCAAAGUAUACCGAUCCAGCAUAAUAUGCUGGAAGUUCAUACACAGGUGCACCUAACUCUAAUAUAUUAUACUGGAUCGAUCUCUGUUGCAGUAAAAUAAUGGCUAUUUUUCAAUGACUUGACAAACGAUGGCUAUUUUUUGAAUGACCAGUCCGAAAACUAGCCCGUGCUAUUUUGACUAAUGGAUUUGGAUAAAGAACUUUAGGUCAAAAUAACACGGGCUAGCCAAUUUUCAGGCUGGUAAUUGAAAAUAGCCAUCGUUUGCAAAGUCAUUGAAAAAUAGGCACUAUUUUGCUGCAACACGGAAAGUGCAGCAUAAUAUACUGGAGAUUGGAGCAAGUGCGUAUGAACUUCCAACAUAAUAUGCUGGACCAGUAUAUUAUACUAGAACUCCAGUAUAUUAUUUGGAGUUCUAGUAUAUUAUGCUGGAAUAUUUUUCGGAUUUUGAACAGUGUUUUAGUUCCGAUUUAUCUUUACAUGAAAAGUGGCUAAAUUUUGAUUAUUUUUGAAAGUGUAGCUACUUUUCAAUUACCACUUGUAAAUAUGGCUAUCUUUGCAUUUCAGCCAAACUUUAGCGGGGGAAUUUGCAUCUAUACCCAGUUUUUGAGCCACCUUUUAACUUAUACCCGCUUUGCAAAAAAAAUUGCAAGCGUACCCACUUUUCGUGUAGCUUCAGGCAUAUGGGCAUGAAGUAGCAAGAAUUUAUGUCUGAAGUUUGAACUUCAGAUUUUUUUUCCUAAAGUGUGGCCUGACUUGCAAAGGCAAUCACGCAAACUUCAGUUCAUAAGCAAGGGCAAACUUCAGUUCAAUUGUUUAUGCCUGAAGUUUGAACUUCAUAAAUUUUUGCCUGAAAUGUAGCCUUAUCAAAGCAAAACUUCAGAUAUUUUUGCUUGAAGUUAGGCCUGACUUGCAAAGGCCAUCACACAAACUUCAGUUUAUAAGCAAGGGCAAACUUCAGCUCAAUUGUGUACUUCAGAUAUUUUUCUAUGAACUUCAGACAUUUUGAUAUAAACUUCAGAUAUUUUGACAUAAACUUCAGACAUUUGGUUAUGAACUACAUAUAUUUGGCUAAGAUUGUCAAACAUAUGGGAUAUAUACUUCAGAUACUGAAGUAUAAACUUCAGACAUUUGAGUCUGAAGUUAGGCACUGCUAUUGGUUAUCCUCGUUUCCAUGGCUUAUUACGCCAUAUGAAGGUGACGACAUCUCAGAUGCGAUGUUGGAUUUCAAUGCAUUGCAUGAGACUGCAAGGUCAGUUGCGGUGAAAGCUUUUGCACUAUUAAAGCGAGGUUGGAGCAUACUUAAUAAGGUUAUGUGGAGACCUGAUAAACAGAAAUUCCCAAGUAUCAUUCUCGUGUGUUGUUUGCUUCAUAGUAUUAUCAUUGAUUGUGGAGACCAAUUAAAUCCUAAGGUUGCCUUAUCUGGUCAUCAUGACCCAAGAUAUAAGGGAAGAUGACGGUUUUAUUCUUGCAUAUUGCCAUGAACUAAGAGAUACAGUUUAGCGUGAACUCUCAAGAUCCUAAACUGGGGAACUCAUCAGAAAAGAAGAGGAGGAAGAAAGGAACGCAUAGGUUCGGAGUAAGAAGAGGAGGCAUCUGAAAUUUUUAAAAUUAGAGUAUAAGUUAAAUAAUUUUAAAAAUAUAGGUAUAGGUUAAAUGAGAGCGUCCCGUACAAUUUUUACAACUUUAGCUUACAUGAGCUAAGCCCAACAUCCAUCUCUGAAACUGAAAGGCGAGUAAAAGGAAUUAUAGUCCCUGACUCAAUCGUACAGGGUUUGUACCUCACACUGGCUAAUUCACUCUUUCGAUAUAAACUUAUAUUUCAACAAUUAGCAUAUCAUAAAAAUAGAAAGAGAAUUACUAUGAUCACAAAGUACAAGAACAAGUCGAACAUCAACUUAAAAAGUAAUUGAAUAUGAGGAAUAUCAUAUUCAUUAUUUGUAGUAAGUAUUCAUGAUUGUUAAAGCAUUAGAAUCAAAAACCAAACUGGCUGAAAAUCUAUUUGGAUUCAAAAAUUAGAAUUUUAACAAGUCAAUCAAAAUUUAUCCAAUAAUUGGUAUGGAGAAGUAUUAAAUCUACAUAAUUUUAACUUUAAUUAAUACUCCUCUCGUCCCAAUUUAUAUGACAUAAUUUCCUUUUUAAUAUGUUCCAAAAAGAAUGUCAUACUAUUUUACUUUUAAUGAGAUAAAGUUAUUUUGUAUAUGAUUUGUUUUAAACCACAAGUUUCGAUUUUUUUUACUUACUUAAAUUUCGUACCCUGUCAAACACGCCACAUAAAUUGAGACAAAUACAGUUAAACAAAAGUUAUUUUUUCUUCUUAUACAAUAUUUGAAACUUAUUUAUCAAAAUUAUCCAUAUUUUGUCUAUUACCCGCCCUAAAUAAAUUUUUCUUACAAUUUAUUAUUAGUGCCUUAAAUUAGUGAAUUCUUAGCUUCGAAAAAAGGCAUAACUGAAGAAAACAACAGUGUUAACCACGUUUGAGUCUCUGACGGUGGCAAUAACAGCUCUCAUCAUCGAAAAAGUGUAGGCCCACCAAGACAAUUAAAACUUACAAUUACGUAUUGGACAAUUCAACCUCUGAUAAAGCAGAGUCUCUAUAUGGAAGAAUUGAGCCAAAAACUUUUGGGGAUCUCCCUUUGCUAUAUUUACCUAUUUUAAUAAAAUAAUAAUGUAUGGUACAAUAACAUACAAAUCUAAAAUAAAUUUCGUACAAAUUUAAUAUAAAAUUGAUAUAUCCACAACAACAUACAUACUAAAAAUAAAUUUCAUACAACUAAGUAUACAGUAUACAACUUAUUUAUAACUUAUGUACAACUUUCAUACAUUAUUCUUAUCCGGUUAAAUACAAUUACAAUACCAUACAACUUAAAUAUAAUUUUCAUACAAAUUUUAUACAAUAUGCCUUUUGUAUAAUUUUUGUAUACGAUUUGUAUAUAUUUUGUAUGUAGCGUGUUCUUCUUCCUCUCUUAAUACAAUUUUGAUACAUAUCAAAAACUUUAUGUAAGGAGAUAGUAUUUAUAACUUAAAUAUAAAUUUUGUACAACGACUCAUACAUUAUACAACUAUUUUUCAACUUUCAUACAACAUUGAAAUAUAUAUAUAUAUAUAUAUAUAUAUAUAUAUAUAUUGUAACGACCCGACCGGUCGUUUUGAGCUCUAGCGUGUCGUUCAGCCGUUUGACGCCCUGAUUAUUUUCACUUCAGGUAUUAUGACUUGUACGCAUGGUCGGACUUGAAUUCCGGGAAGUUCGGAGUUGAUUUGGAGAGAGAAUUCUCAUUUCGAAAGCUUUAAGUCGAAAGAAUUGACUAAGAUUGGAUUUUUGAGUAAACGGCCUUGGAAUCAAGAUUCGAAGGUUCCAGCAGGUUCAUAUGAUGAUUUCGGACUUGGGCGUAUGUCCGGAUCAAAUUUUGGAAAACCCGGGAACGUUUCGGCACCUGCUGUGGAAGUUAGCAUUUUUGAAAGAAUUUCAUAAGUUUGGGUUGAAGUGUAUUUCAAUGUUAUCAAUGUCUGUUUGGGAUUCCGAGUCUGGGAAUAGCUCCGUAUGGUGAUUCUAGUGUUGAGAGCGCGAUCGGAAGAGAAUUUGGAGGUCCAUGGGUCAUUUUGGAGUAAUUUGGCUAAAGUUAGAAAUUUAAAGGUUUUUUGAGGAGUUUGACCGGACGUGGACUUUUUGAUACUGGGGUCGAAUUCCGAUUCCGGAAGUUGGAGUUCCGUAAUGUCAAGUAUGACUUGUGUGCAAAUUUUGAGGUCAAUCGGAUGUGAUUUGAUAGGUUUAAACAUCGAAAGUAGAAGUUUGAAAUUUUAAAGUUCAUUAAGCUUGAAUCGGAGUGCGUUUCAUGAUUUUAGCGUUGUUUGAUGUGAUUUACAGCCUUGAGCAAGUCCAUGUUAUAUUUUUAGACUUGUACGGGUAUUUGAUUUGGAGCCCCGGGGGCUCGAGUGAGGUUCGGAGUAGCUUCGGAGUGGUUUGUUAAGGAGUAGGAUUGCUGGUACUGGUAUGACCGCAUUUGCGGUGUUUUGGUCGCAAAUGCGACCCUCGCAUUUGCGAGCUUGGGUUGCUGUGGGAAAAGAUUGCAUUUGCGAACUAAGGUCGCUUUUGCGAGGCUGGCAGCUUCGCAUUUGCGAAGAAUCUGAUCGCAAAUGCGACCUGGGCAGGAAUGGCUUGGCUUCGCAUUUGCGAUGCAUUUGUUGCAAAUGCGGCCAUCGCAUUUGCGAGCUGGAUGUCGCAAAUGCGACAUCUGCUACUGGAACCCAAGGCUUUUUAUCCCGAGACUUAGCCCUUUNNNNNNNNNNNNNNNNNNNNNNNNNNNNNNNNNNNNNNNNNNNNNNNNNNNNNNNNNNNNNNNNNNNNNNNNNNNNNNNNNNNNNNNNNNNNNNNNNNNNNNNNNNNNNNNNNNNNNNNNNNNNNNNNNNNNNNNNNNNNNNNNNNNNNNNNNNNNNNNNNNNNNNNNNNNNNNNNNNNNNNNNNNNNNNNNNNNNNNNNNNNNNNNNNNNNNNNNNNNNNNNNNNNNNNNNNNNNNNNNNNNNNNNNNNNNNNNNNNNNNNNNNNNNNNNNNNNNNNNNNNNNNNNNNNNNNNNNNNNNNNNNNNNNNNNNNNNNNNNNNNNNNNNNNNNNNNNNNNNNNNNNNNNNNNNNNNNNNNNNNNNNNNNNNNNNNNNNNNNNNNNNNNNNNNNNNNNNNNNNNNNNNNNNNNNNNNNNNNNNNNNNNNNNNNNNNNNNNNNNNNNNNNNNNNNNNNNNNNNNNNNNNNNNNNNNNNNNNNNNNNNNNNNNNNNNNNNNNNNNNNNNNNNNNNNNNNNNNNNNNNNNNNNNNNNNNNNNNNNNNNNNNNNNNNNNNNNNNNNNNNNNNNNNNNNNNNNNNNNNNNNNNNNNNNNNNNNNNNNNNNNNNNNNNNNNNNNNNNNNNNNNNNNNNNNNNNNNNNNNNNNNNNNNNNNNNNNNNNNNNNNNNNNNNNNNNNNNNNNNNNNNNNNNNNNNNNNNNNNNNNNNNNNNNNNNNNNNNNNNNNNNNNNNNNNNNNNNNNNNNNNNNNNNNNNNNNNNNNNNNNNNNNNNNNNNNNNNNNNNNNNNNNNNNNNNNNNNNNNNNNNNNNNNNNNNNNNNNNNNNNNNNNNNNNNNNNNNNNNNNNNNNNNNNNNNNAAAUUUGACCACAAAAAUGGUUAUGGAAUUUGGUAAAAAUCAUAUAUUUGACUUCAUAAGGUUAUGGGUAACAACUUUCGUCGAAAUUUUUUCGGAAUCAGGGCACGUGGGACCGGGGGUGAAUUUUUGGAACCUUGCAUUUAGGGUCGGAAAAUUGGUUUAAUAAUUAGAAUAUGGAUCUUUGUGCAUGUAUUGACUAGUUCUUACCUCAUUUGAAUAGUUUUGGAUCGUUCGGCUCUGAUUUAGAGGUUUGGGCUCGUUUUUAAAUUGGGAUAUAGGCUUCAGAGUGAGGUGAGUCUCCUUUCUAACCUUGUAAGAGGGAAUUGUCCCCAUAGGUGAAUUAAUUAGUUAUGUAUUUCUAUUUGUGGGGGCUACGUAUGCACGAGGUGACGGAAGUCCGUGCGUAGCUACUAUUAUGCUUAAGCCCGGGUAGUUUAGGACCUAAAAACAUGCUUUACUUGUAAUAUUUGAAAUCUUGUUGUCAAUUUGAAAAUUCUUAAAACAUAUCGAACGUAUAAAUGAAUUUCUAAAAGACUAGUCAUUGUUUCUUGAUUUUUAGAAGAGAAAUUGCAUUUUCUUGGACAAUUACUCCUUGAUGAGUUCUUGAUUGACUGUUUGAUUGUGUUUAUAUAUUGUGGAACAGGCUGAACACAUCAGCAAAUUAAAUAGAUGCAUCUAUGGUUAGCGCCAUUCGACCCUUUGGCAGUGCACAAUUUAACUAUUGUUGGAUCGACCCGUACGUCAUUGGAAUGAUUUGCGCAUGCUUGUAAUGUCUGCUUUAAAAUUUAUUAAUGUUGAUAUUUGUUCUCCCUAGCCUGAGAUAAAUGUAUAAAUGAUGAAAAGGAAUUUGGGAAUUUCCUAUAAAAGAAAGAAUUGUUUACUUGCUUCAUUCUAUUGAGUUACAACCCUGUUUAUAAAAAUCCUUGAUUUAUUAUAAUAUUUGGUGUAUCAUUAUUGGACCACUAGCAAGUGUCGAAGUCGACCUCUCGUCUCUACUUCUUCGAUAUUAGGCUGGAUACUUACUGAGUACACGUUAUUUUUGUACUUAUGCUAUACUUGCUGUGAAUUUUUGUUGCACAGGCACAUGUACCUCUAGCGACCUGAUGGGCAUGGUAGCAUGGAUGAUACAGAGACUUAGGUGAGUUGCAUCUCUCGAGGCGGCCCGCAGCCGGCAUAGUUUCUUUCAGUGUAUAGUAUCUACCUUCUGCCCAAAUCUGUAUUCCAGAUAGUUAUUAUACUUCAUUUGAUUUUCCAAGAAUAUAACUGAUGCACUUAUGACACCGGGUUCUAGGAUAAGUAUGGGAUUAUUCAAUAUUUAGUUUGUUAAAGAUAUUAUCUUAUUUAAGGGAAAUUCAUUAUUUUGUUUAAUGUAUAAAAGAAAUAUUUUCAAUAAAUACUAAAAUGAAAAUUUAAUUAACGUUUUGGUGAUUGGCUUGCCUGACAGUGUUGUCCGACGCCAUCACGACCCUUAGUGGAUUUUGGGCCGUGACAACAUGGUAUCAGAGCACUAGGUUCCCUUAGGUCUCAUGAGUCAUGAGCGAGUAUAGUAGAGUCUUGCGGAUCGGUACAAAGACGUUUGUACUUAUCUUCAAGAGGCUACAAGGCUGUUAGGAGCACUUUCCUUCUUGAUUCCUCAUCGUGCGAUUUGAUUCCUUUGAGGCUUAUGCCCUUGUUUCCUUCCUACUCAAUCUUAUGCAACACGAAACACUUAUUAUAAAUCAGGAAUUGAGGAAUUGUAAUAGUACUACAGAUGUGGUGCAGGAUGUUUAUCCCUGCGUAGUUGUUUGGGCUAUUGUCGUCACCUUGGAGAAGGCCGUUCUGUCGUUUCAGUUCAGUAUCAAUAUUACCUAAGGUUUCGAGAUUUGGCAUCGAUGUUAUGACGAUUCGUGCAUUGCUAUCGCCCAGUAUUGAUGUGAUGGUAGGAUACUUACCAAUAUGUCGGGGUAGUGAAUAACUUGAAAGGAGCCCUACUCAGUGCAUGAUUCAGAGACUCGGUAUUUUAUUCCCGGCGUAGGAAAGGCAACCGGACUAUAAUUGUUCAGGAUUGAGUCGAUGUUUUUAAUGUCAACAUCUCGAGAAAACAUGAUCUUCGAAAAAGUAUAAAGUUAGUAGCGGUCUAUUGGUUCAAGUGCUACAUAGAUAUAAAUUGAUCUAAGGCAAAAAAACUAAAAAAUCUUGGCAGCAAAGGAUGAGGAAGGAUAUGUGGAAAGUGUCAUGCGGUGGUUAAACUUCUAGAAGGCUAGGUGUAAGAAGCAGAAGUCGAGUAGUUUCUUAAAGAAGUGAGUUUGCCCAAAGUGCGAGAGUGGUAGAAUAGCAUAUGGGUUCAGUGGCAGGAUCACUACACACCUUGAGGAAAAGUUAGAGUGGUUUGGGAAUUUUAGUGGACGGUGAUUGGGUCUACGAGCGUAAUUUGAAAUAUUGGCUAGCAUACGGUGGGAGAUUUGAUAUGACGAAAAGGAGCUACUUGAUAUGAAGAAGGAUACCUGUAUUUUAGUGGAUGUCCACGAGGAAUGAACGGAUUCGUUCAGCUAGUGAAUGAGCAUGGGCUCAAGAUGGGUCACUGAUUUUGUAGUAAUGGUGCAUUGCAGCGUUGUUGGGAGAUAACAUCAUGUAAUUUCUACAAAGUGUUAUCUCCUAUGAGCAGAUCUGCAGUCGUGUGGUUGGCGAAGCUUCUUCGAAGAAUCCUACUGGCUAUCCAGUAAAAAGUCGAAUAUGUGAAUGUUGCUAGAGAUUCAGAGUGUUCAUGAAAUGCUAACGGAAGUAUUUUAAGGAAUUUGGCGGUAGAUUGCACAAGGUCAUGUCAAUGAGAGAUAAAGAAUUUUGGUAGGUUCCGGAGUUGUGUAAUAAUGGCUUCAAGCUAAGUAGGAGAGUCCCACCACCUACGGUUGGAUUACAUGGUCGUCUAUUUGUGGGAUUUCAGGUUAUUAGCAUAUAGAUGGGUUAUUUUAGCUAAGAGAAAGGAACAUAAGAGGUAAUUUGAGCAAAGGAAUUGUUAAAGGUGUGCUAUAGUUGGCCUUAUUGACUCAUGUUCAAACUUGAGGAAGGGUACAAGAUUUAGGCCUUGGUAGAUGCGGGUUUCAAGGAAAGUGAUUUGGCUGGGUGCUUCGCCGAGAGGGUGUUCAUAUGCUAGAAGAUUCAUGGAGUUGAUUAUAUUCGGGACCAAGUCAGAGUGGGUGGCUCUUAACAACGGUUCUAGUGAAUUCAAAGGAUUUAAAAAUGUGGUGCCUAAGGAUUCAAGCCCGCAGUAUGGUUAAGAAUUGAGCUUUUGUAGCAGAUUAUGAUAAGAGGCUCGGAAUGAUCUAUGAUGUUUUUGAUUUUUAGUGUAGCAUAGGGAGGAAAAAGGGAAAAAGAUUUCAGAUUCAUAGAGGUAUUAUCAGAAUGGGUGCAUCAGUUGAAGAUGCGAAUGUGCGUACAAGGAGGGUGUGAAGCGGUUCAUGGGUUUGGAGACAAUAUGGUCUCAUGGAAUGGGGUCACUCAAGAUGAGUGCGGAUUUAGGUUGGUGAUGUUAGGAAUGGAGAUAAUAUUAUCUCUAGGCAAGUUAAGGAUGAAUUAGAGAAAGUUAUAUUGGUCAGCUAUGGUUGAAUUGGCAUAGUGGUGGCGGUGUGCGCGAGGCUCGAUGGCCGUCGUAAUUGAUUAUGUUUGGAAGUAUUCAAGUAUUAUGGCUUGUUAUGUGUAGGUAGAUCCCGGAAGGGUUAUGGUGGUUUAGACCACUACUUGAGGAUUUGAAUGUUCUACGGUUAUGAGAAGUUACUCGUGUGUUGCUAUGGUCCUCUUGGAAUGAGUUAAGUAAAAAGUUUCCAGGUGAGGAAGUGUUUACCAUAUUAGUGGUUUAGGAGUUAUGAUGAAGAUCUUGUGCUAUCGCAUAUUGGCAUGUUGGAUGCAGUGAGUGGUAUGGAAUUUGAAAGUGAGGAUAAAGGUUGCAGUUCGGUGUUGACAAGGAUGUCACGAGCUCGGAUGAGCAGGAAAGGGAUUUGAAUGAUUAGAGUAAGCUGUCAUUGUCUUCAAUGUCACUUGAGAUCGGUGUUUUGUGAAAAAGGCUUUGCAUCUUGGUUAAGGAUUCUUGAUCGCUUUUCAGCGUUAGUGCGACCGGUGGUAUGGAUGUACAGACCUGUUAUCUGUUACGGAAUGUCGUGGGAGCGUGCCCCAUGGGAAAGUUGUAUAAGUAUGGCAUGUAGUCACUUGAUUGAUUGAAUAAUUAAACCAAGUAUGAAGAUUGUGGUGAUAUCGUUAAUUUGAGAAUUGAUGCCUGGAGGGCACUCGAUUUAUUGAGUUGUGGACUAUGGAGAAUUACUCCAGUUAUGAUGGUUGUUCUUGUGGGUUAUGGGAAAAGGGGAUAUUAUGGACCCAAGAAAGAUUAUGGACCUAGUUCGAUACGAUUAGAAUCGGCUUGAGGUCUGUGAAUGGAUUUAAGUAUGAAUAUGGGCUCUACAUCAGGCCAGAUGUGUUCAUUUCAGCAUAGCGACUCCUUAUGGAAGAGUAUUCAGACGUUGGAUGUUAUUUCGUCAUCGGUUGUUUCAUGUAAUGUUAUAUUGUGCCGUGUGAGUUGUGAACGACUCAUUAAUUUUCUUAUGUGUUGAGGCUCCACGUAGCGAUGGUAUUCGGUAAGCUGGAUGGCUCUUUAGUUUCAGAACAUAUAUCUCACCUCAGUUGUGCUUGAGUUUGUUAGCUUAUGGCUAUAUGUCUCCCCAGGGAUGGUAUUAUGCACUUAGCGUGCUUGUGACUGAUACUCGGUAUUUUGUUGUAAUGAGCAAUUUAGCUCGGUGUGUAUCUCCUUAUCUAAAUUUAUGUGUGGAUCGUGUGGCAUGCCACCAUGGGUAUGUUAUUUGGAUUGGGUUACACACCGCAACAGUGUGAUUUUGAGUACAGUUCCCUAUUUAUUUCUAUGUGUUUUGUUUCCCAUUUUCUGAGGGAAGUUCAUAUUAGUCGCGUGAGUUGAGUAGUCACUUCCUGAGUUUGUUUUCCUUAUGUAUCACAUUAGUUCUUGCAGCCUACUGGCACGUUGCGGCAUCAUAUGGGACUUUUAAUCAUGACUAGGAUGGCAUAUUGCCUGAGCAGUUCGUACGGGGUGAGAUGAGAUCAUCGGAUCUAGGAUCGGUGCAGCCGGAUUAUAUGAAUUAUAAUAAAGAGCAAAGAUCAUUAUUUGGCCAGAAUGAGGUAAUAGUUCUUGUCAGAGGUGUAGACUCAAUGAUUUGUUGACUCAGUAGUUGGUUAUGAAUUUCCACGCAUCUCUUCCGUCCUGGCGGUAUUUCAAGAGUUGGGACAAGACUUAAAUAUAUCAUGAGGUGCAUUGUGAGCAUCAAAUUCGAAGAAUGUCGGCUAUUAUGAUCAGAGAAAUUUAUUAUGGUCAUGUGAAUGACGUGGUACAUAGUGUGAAUUCAGUAAAGGUAUGCAAUCUUGUAUCGAUGCAUCAUGUGGUGACUUUUACGUUGUUCAUAUGUUGAAAGAAGGCAUGGCAGAUAAUUUUGAAUGUUGAAACAAGGCUCUAAGGCUUAUGUACCUAAAUGAAAGAGGUUAUCUUUAGAUUUGAUCGAGUUAAUGUGCUCAGCUGAGUUGUGGUAGCACGGGUAGGUGCACGAGGUGUUAAGUAGUGAUUUCAGACUACUUCAGUGUAGUUCUCAGCACGUUCGAGGAUAAAUGUAUGUUUAAGUGGGAGAGAAUGUAAUGACCUGAUGAUAGGCUAUAAUUACGUAUUUUAGUCACUUAUUACAUUCAAAUUUACUGCACUUUAAUUGAGUUUGCGCUUUAAUCGCUAGUGUUUUGCAUCAAUUGUGUAUUUUAUGCCUUGUAGGAGUGAUUCCGAGCUAUAUAGAUGUUAUGGAGUGAAUUCAAGUGAUUUGGAGCUUUGAAGUCUGAAUAAAAGCUCAAGAAAUUAAGCCGGGAUCGUAUUCGGGGAUCAACAAAUGAUAGAGCAACAAAACGAAGAAUCGAGUAGGCAUAUUGCGCACUGUCUAGUAAAAUGCACAUCAAUUUUCGCUCAGAACUCCGUUUGGAUCCACAAUAUUUGGUUGGAAAGCUAACUCAAAGAUCUACAACUUUCAUGUUUUACGUUUUUCCAAAUUCCAAACGAAACAGGGUGAAAAACACGGUCGAAACCGCGACCGUGGACCUGACGCGGACAGAAACAGUAGCCAUGCAAUGUACCGUGCCCGUACCAAGGUUGACCGCGGCCGCGGCUGUCCAGACGUGAAAAACUAUCUUUUUUCGCCUGGGAGAAUGUAUAAUUAUUUGGGCCCGACCCUACUUGGUAUAUAUACAUGGAAAAACGGUAUUUUAAGUGUUUGGACACACUUUUGACAUAAUUUAGACCUAAUGAGACAGAGGAGACCAAUUUUUGACACACAUUCGACCUGAGGAGGCAGAGACACAAUAGGACCAAGGCGGAGAAUUCUUCUAUGAGUAGCUAAUUUGUUAUCUAGGGUUUUGAUGGAACCUUUUGUAGGAUAAAUUCUUGUUAUGUUUUUAUAUAAUUGAGUCGUUGAAUUUCUCUACUUGUUCAACUACGUGUUUAUUGUUGUUGAUUGAAUGGUCAUCGAUUGACUGUGCAUAUUUAUUAUGUGUUGCUUGAGAAAGGAUACAUAUUUAGGUGGUUGUUGAACAACGUCACUCUUAACGUAUGUGAGAAAUCAAUACGGCGGGUUUAAAAGCAGGUUUAGAAAUAACAAAGCCAUGAGGUAGUCAUAAGGAGCGGUUAGAUAAAGUCAACUAGCAUAGUUCGAGAGCAUGUGUCUAGUAAAUUGUUGUAGUUGCUCGAGAGAGAAUUACGACACCUAAAGUGCUCACGAUCAGUAGAGAAUAAAUUGGCAAAAUUGUAGGGAACAUAGCUAGAAGGAUUCCGACAAUUAGGAAAAUUAUAACUCUAGACCUCCUUAAUUUAGUCUCCAACCCUUUGUCUCGUUUGUUGAUAAUUUUACCGUUUUCUAGUAUUUGCUAGUUAAUUAGUUAGAAAUAUAAAUCUCAAUCUUUAUAAUUUAGAAAAUUGUUCAAACUUGUCUUUUUAUUGAUAUUAAACAGAUAUAGCUAAGCCUUAGUUCUCUGUGGGAUUCGAUUCCGGACUUUUAGAUCGGAUUAUAUUUGCAGCGACAACUUAUCCUUUUUAGGACUAAAGUUGGGCAUGAUAACGACCCAAUCGGUUGUUUUGAGCUCUAGCGUGUCGUUCAGCGGUUUGAGGCCCUGAGUAGCUUCACUUCAGGUAUUAUGACUUGUACGCAUGGUCGGAAUUGAAUUCCAGGAAAAUCGGAGUUGAUUUGGAGAGAGAAUUCUCAUUUUGGAAGCUUUAAGUCGAAAGAAAUGACUAAAAUUGGAUUUUUGAGUAAACGACCUCGGAAUUGAGAUUCAAAGGUUCCAGCAGGUUCGUAUGAUGAUUUCGGACUUGGGCAUGUGUCCGGAUCGAGUUUUGGAAGACCCGGGAACGUUUCGGCACCUAUUGUGGAAGUUAGCAUUUUUGGAAGAAUUUCAUAAGUUAGAGUUGAAGUGCAUUUCAGUGUUAUCAAUGUCCGUUUGGGAUUACGAGUCUGUGAAUAGCUCCGUAUGGUGAUUUUGGUAUUGGGAGCGCGAUCGGAAGUGAAAUUUGAGCUCCGUGGGUCAUUUUGGAGUCAUUUGGCUAAAGUUAGAAAUUUGAAGGUUUUUGAGGAGUUUGAUCGGAAGUGGACUUUUUGAUAUCGGGGUCGGAUUCCGAUUCAGAAAGUUAGGGUAGGUCUGUACUGUCAAGUAUGACUUGUGUGCAUAAUUUGAGGUCAAUCGGACGUGAUUUCAUAGGUUUAAACAUCGAAAGUAGAAGUUUGAAAUUUUAAAGUUCAUUAAGCUUGAAUCGGAGUGCGAUUUAUGAUUUUAGCAUUAUUUGAUGUGAUUUGCGGGCCUCGAGCAAGUCCGUGUUAUGUUUUUAGACUUGUGCGGGUGUUUGGUUUGGAGCCCCGGGGGCUCCGGUGAGGUUCGGAGUAGCUUCAGAGUGAUUUGUUAAGGAGUGGGAUUGCUGGUAUUGGUAUGACCGCAUUUGCGGUGUUUUGGCCGCAAAUGUGACCCUUACAUUUGCGAGCCUGGGCUGCUGUGGGAAAAGUUCGCAUUUGCGAACUAAAGGUCGCUUUUGCGAGGCUGGAACCUUCGGAUUUGCGAAGAAUCUGGUCGCAAAUGCGACCUGGGCAGGGAUGGCUUGGCUUCGCAUUUGCGAGCCGGAUGUUGCAAAUGCGACAUCUGCGACUGGAACUCAGGGCUUUUUAUCGUGAGACUUAUCCCUUUACCUUCAUUUUCCACUUGGUUUUAGGCCAUUUUUGGAGCUUUUGGAAGAGGGUUUUCACCUAGCACUUUGAGGUAAAUAAUUUCUACACAACAUGAGUUAAAUAUAUAGAUUAUGGAUAGAUUAACAUGUAAAAAUUGGUGAAAUCUAGGGUUUAGAUGAAAACCUAGGUUUUGUAUAAAAAUGAGAUUUGACCACGAAAAUGGUUAUGGAAUUUGGUAAAAAUCAUAUAUUUGACUUCAUAAGGUUAUGGGUAACAACUUUCUUCGAAAGAAUUUCGGAAUCCGGGCACGUGGGGCUGGGGGUGAAUUUUUGGAACCUUGCAUGUAGGGUUCGGAAAUUGGUUUAAUAAUUAGAAUAUGGACCUUUGUGCAUGUAUUGACUAGUUCUUACCCCAUUUGAAUAGUUUUGGAUCGUUCGGCUCCGAUUUGGAGAUUUGGGGCCGUUCUUGAAUUGGGAUAUAGGCUUCAGAGAGAGAUGAGUCUCCUUUCUAACCUUGUAAAAGGGAAGUAUCCCCAUAGGUGAAUUAAUUGGUUAUGUGCUUCUAUUUGUGGGGGUUGCGUACGCACGAGGUGACGAGAGUCUGUGCGUAGCUACUAUUAUGUUUAUGUCCGGGUAGUUUGGGACCCAAAAUCAUGCUUUACUUGCAAUAUUUGAAAUCUUGUUGUCAAUUUAAAAACGCUUAAAACAUAUCGAACGUGUAAAUGAAUUUCUAAAAGACUAGUCAUCGUUUCUUGAUUUUUAGAAGAGAAAUUGUCUUUUCUUGGAUAAUUGCUCCUUGAUGAGUUCUUGGUUGACGGUUUGAUUGUGUUUAUAUAUUGUGGAACGGGCCAAACGCCUCGAUAGAUUAAAUAGAUGCAUUUAUUGUUAGCGCCAUUCGAACCUAUGGCAGUACACAGUUUAAAUAUUAAUGGAUUGGGCCGUACGUCCUCGUCAUGAUUUAUGCAUGCUUGUAAUGUCUGCUUUGAAAUUUAUAAAUGUUGAUAUUUGUUCUCCCUGGCCUGAGAUAAAUGUAUAAAUGAUGAAAAAGAAUUUGAGAAUUUCCUAUAAAAGAAAGAAUUGUUUACUUGCUUCAUUCUAUUGAGUUACAACCCUGUUAAUAAAAAUCCUUGAUUUAUUAUAAUAUUGGUGUAUCAUUAUUGGACCACUAGUAAGUGUCAAAGUCGACCUCUCGUCUCUGCUUCUUCGAGAUUAGACGGGAUACUUACUGAGUACACGUUGUUUUUGUACUCAUGCUACACUUGCUGUGCAUUUUUGUUGCACAGGCACAUGUACCUCUAGCGGCCUGAUGAGCGUAGCAGCAUGGAUGAUACAGAGACUCAGGUGACUGCAUCUCUCGAGGCGGCCCGCAACCGGCGUAGUCUCUUUCAGUGUAUAGUAUCUACCUUCUGUCCAAAUAUGUAUUCCGGACAGUUAUUAUACUUCUUGAUUUUCAUAGAAUAUAGCUUAUGCACUUGUGACACCAGGUUCUGGGAUGAGAAUGAGAUUAUUCAUUAUUUAGUUUGUUAAAGACAUUCUCUUAUUUCAGUGAAAUUCAUUAUUUAUUGUUUAAUGUAUACAAUAAAUAUUUUCAAUAAAUACUAAAAUAAAAAUUCAAUUAACUUUUUGGUGAUUGGCUUGCCUGACAAUGUUGUCCGGCGCCAUCAUAACCCUUAGUGGAUUUUGGGCCAUGACAUAUAUAUAACUACAACAGAAUACAACUUAAAUGUAUUUUACAUACAACUUUAAUACAUCUUCUUCAUCUUCGAGUUUCAAUAUGAAAAUUCAUCCAAAUUCAACUCUAAUCUUCAUCAAAUACCCUCAAAAUUAAGAUAUAAACUCCAAAGAAUAAUCCUGAUCGUUUACAGUAGGACCCAAUCAAAACAAAUAAUAAUAUUUUUCUUAAAAAUCUAGUUCUCUUCUCUUUUCUAAUCUCCUCCCCCCAGAGAAUUCAAUAAUAGAUGGUAAUUUUGAUUCUCUCUUUGAACGCAACUUUAUCUGUUUCUCAAGUAUAUACUCGUUUGUGUGGGAACUUCCGAAUGCAGAUUAGUAGAAGAGAUCAGAGCGUGAAAAUAAAGAGAGAGGAGAGAGAUAUGGAAUUUGAUUUCCUCAUUAAAAGGCUACAAUCAAGGAUACUUAUUUAAAAUUUAUUUGUAUAUAAAUAGUAAAUUGUAUAUCAAGUUGUAAUUAAGUAAAACCUAAAAAAUAAGGGUAAAUAAGUUUCUAAUGUUGUACAUAUAAGUAAAAAUACCUUAAAAAAUUGCCAUUAUCCUUGUCGUAUAAAUAUUGAAGACAAUAGCCAUUUUUAUACUACUAUGUUUAAGGGCAUCGAUGAGAUUAACAAGUUUUAACAAAUCUGUCUUAUUUGCAAAAUGUUGAAAGCAAAUAAGGAGCACGUACGCACUAGAAAAGCACGUACAUACGUUACAAAUAUUACUAGCUAGCUUAUUCCAUGUGAUGGUGUCGAUGAAAGUGAUGAGAAUUGGCAGCUUGCUUCUGGUGAUUAUUCUCAAGGUGGUGCUGAUGUUGAUGAUUAUGGAGAUAAUAUGUACUUCUAUUUGCAUUAUUUACUGAUAAUAUUGGUCUACCCAUUUCAGACCACCCUCUACUAGGGUUUCUUGUCAGCUCUAGCAAGGAGUCCCUCACAUGAUCAGCUUGAACCAUUUCAUUAUCCCUUUUCUAGUUUAACAUACUGUUGGGAAUAAACGCCCUACAGAAAUAAUAUUCACGAUAAUAAAAGCAGAAUAAUAACGUAGCACCUAAGAUACGGUAAUUAACAAGAAUAAAAGAGGAACAACGACACCAAGAUUUUUACGUGAAAAACCCUUCUUGAAUAAGGAAAAAAGCCACGACACUCAGAGGAUCAACUGAUAUCACUUUAGCAAGGGAUUUUACACUUUGUAGUUCCGAGUAAAAUACUCCAAAGACCACUACAAAACUCAAAAGAAAUAACCAUCUUUUGAUAUUUCCAUCUCACUAUAAUAUCGCUCACUCUCUAUUUUUCUCAUAGACUAUUUCCUUAUACCCUGUCUGUGAAACCUCACUCUUUCUUUCUAACUCUCAGAUAUAUUUUCCUCUGAGAUUGGGUGUAUCGAGAUGAGAGCUGAAGCUCUCCUUUUAUUUGCAGAGCCUCACUCUCUCACGCCUACCCUAUUUGCCAUUUUCCUUUCUACAUAACCUACCACAUUUGACACAACCUACAAUGUUGACAAUGCAAAAACAAAGGUGGCUGACAAUAUACAAAAAAAAGACAAAGGAAGAAAGUUAUCUUCCUUAAUUGAUGGGAUGGACCCCACAAAUCUCCCCCUCCAGUCCCAUUCACCUGAAGGAGGUAACACCGGAGAUUCUAGUUUGAGUGCAUGCCGACAAGUUCUUUGCAUAGCUCAAACUUGUCUCUUGGUACCACUUUAGUCAACAUAUCCGAAGGAUUCUCACUUGUAUGGAUCUUCUUGACCUGCAUAGAUCCAUCCUCUAUCCUUUCUCGAAUCCAGUGAUAUCUCACGUUGAUAUGCUUCGUCCUUGCAUGAUAUAUGGUGUUUCUGCUCAGGUCUAUUGCACUUUGACUGUCACAAUAGAUGACAUACUCAUUUUGAUGUAAUCCAAGUUCUCGAAGGAGCCGUUUAAGCCAAACCAUCUCAUUGCCAGCUUUAGUAGCGACAAUAUAUUUUGCUUCAGUUGUAGAGAGUGCAACACACUUCUGUAACUUUGACUUCUAUGAUAUAGCUCCCUGAAAAUGUGAACAGGUAUCCUAUAGUAGAUUUAUGAUUAUUAAGAUCACCUGCCAUAUCAACAUCCAUAUAACCCUUCAAGAUUGGAUCAGAUCCUCCAAAACACAAGCAAUCUCCUAAUGUACCUCUUAGGUACCUGAGUAUCCAUUUGAUUGCUUCCCAAUGUUCCUUUCCAGGAUUUUCAAGGAAUCUACUAACAACACCAACUGCAUAAGCAAUAUCAUGUCUGGUGCAUACCAUUGCAUACAUCAAGCUUCCGACUGCUGAAGAAUAAGGACCUCUAGCCAUGUUCCCUUUCUCCUCCACUGUUAUAGGACACAUCUUCUUGAUCAACUUUAGAUGACUAGCAAGAGGUGUGCUAACUGGCUUAGAAUUCUUCAUGUUGUACUUCUCUUGAAAUAGCCACAACUUUUUGCUUGUUCGCUCUCGAACUAUCUUCAUACCUAGAAUUUGUUGUCCGGGGCCCAAGUCCUUCAUAUCAAAUUACUUGGACGAUCUCCCUUCAACUUUGCGAUUAGCUCCUUGUCUUGUCCUACAAUUAACAUGUCAUCCACAUACAACAACAAUAAAAUAAAAUUAUUUUUAGAAAAUAUUUUGAAGUAUACACAUGGAUCAGAAUAGGUCUUUAUGUAUGUUUGACUUUUCAUGAAUGAGUCAAAUUUCAUGUACCAUUGCAUUGGUGCCUGCUUCAAUCUAUAAAGACCUUAUUCAAUUUGCACAUCAUGUGUUUCUUUCCAGCUACUUCAAAUCCUUCUGGCUGCUCCAUAUAAAUCUCCUAUUCCAAAUCUCUAUGAAGAAAUGCAGUUUUCAUAUCCAACUGCUCCACUUCAAGAUAUAGGCUAACUGCUAAGCUCAAAAUUGUUCGAAUAGAAGUCAUUUUGAGAACAGGUGAGAAAAUUUCAUCAAAAUGAAUAACCUUUUCUAUUCGAAGCCUUUAACCAUCGAUCGAGCUUUGUAUCUAGUUAGCUUGCUAUUUCCAUCUUUCUUGAGUUUAAAGACUCAUUUGCAUUUGAGUGGUCUUUUACCUUUUGGAAGUUCAACUAGCUUGUAUGUGCCAUUUUUCUGUAGAGAUUCCAUCUCUUCUUGCAUGGCUUUCAUCCACAGCUUCUUUUCUGGAUGGGACAACACCUCCUUAAGACUUUCUGACUCCCCUUCAUCAAUGAUGAGGACAUACUCUAUGGAAGGGUACCUGCAAGACUCUACCCUUGGCCUCUCUGAUCUCCUUAGAGGUUGAGGUUGUUCUUCUUCCUGAGUAGGCUACUCCCCUUGCUCGACAUUAUCAUCAAUUUGCUCCCCCUGCUCAAUAACCUCACCAGGUUGCUCCCCCUGCCCGACAAACUCGUCUGUUGUACUUUUCACACUUGUGGGAUAGUUAGAAGAAGAAGGAAUGCUAACAAGGUUAGGGAUUAUACCAUUCUUUGUCUUCUCUGACCGGUCAUCUACAGUUUCACCUUCACUUUCUCGGAAGACUACAUCUCUGCUUCUUAUGACCUUCUUCUUUACAGGAUCCCACAAUUUGUAUCCAAACUCUUCAUCUCCAUAUCCGAUGAAUAUGGAGGGAAUGGAUUUAUCAUCCAUCUUUGUUCUUUGCUCCUUUGGUACAUGUGCAAAAGCUCUGCAACCGAACACCUUCAGAUGCGAGUAGGACAUCUUAUUGUUGGUCCAAACUCUCUCUAGGAUGUCAAACGCCAAUGGAACUAAUGGAAUCCUAUUGAUCAGGUAACAUGCUGUCUGAACUGCUUCACCCCAGAAUGACUUAGGCAGUUUAGCCAUUAUGAGCAUGCUUCUCACCUUCUAAAUAAUGGUGUGGUUCAUCCUUUUGGCUACGCCAUUGUGCCGUGGGGUUCUAGGAACUGUCUUUUCAUGUCUGAUCCCAUGACUUGAACGAUACUCUUCAAAUUCCCUUGAAGUGUACUCACCUCUAUUGUCACUUAGGAGAUGCUUUAGCUUUCGACCGUCUCCCUUUCUACCAGAGCAUGAAACUUCUGGAAAACUUGAAACACCUGAUCUUUGGUUUUCAAAAUAUAAACCCAUAAUUUUCAUGAAGCAUCAUCAAUAAAAGUAACAAAAUAUUUGGUACUACCCACUGAUUCAAUUUCCAUUGGACCAUAAACAUUAGAAUAUACUAAAUCAAGUAUAUUAAAUUUUUUUAGAUGAUGUCUGAAAGGAGACUGUAUGCUGCUUACCAAAUAAACAGUAGUCACAAGGUUUUACCGUUGUACCUUUGGAAUAAGAAAUGACUGAUUGCUUGGCAAGAAUAUGCAAUCCCUUCUCGCUCAUAUGACCCAUUCUUUUGUGCCACAAAUAUGCAGAAAUCUCAUCUUGCACCGCGUUCAAUUCACCUUGGCAUAUUUCGGCAUUUGUUCUGUACAAUGUGCCACAAGCAAUUCCCUUUGCAAUCACCAAUGAUCCCUUGGUGAGUCUCCACUUUUUAUUUGCAAAAUAGUUCUCGUACCCAUCUCGGUCUAAAGCAAUUCUUGGGAUCAAAUUCAUCCGCAAAUCAGGUACAUGCCACAUGUCCUUUAGAACCAAUAUACAUACGACAUUUGUCUUUAUACAAAUGUCACCAAUCCCUGCAAUCUUUGAGUAACUUGUAUUACCCAUUCUCACAGUGACAAAAGCACCUGCUAUAUGUGUGUAAAAAAUAUCUCUUACCGGUAUUGCAUGGUAAAAUGUCGUUGUGUCAACCACCCAUUCUGACUCUGGACCUGACAGGUGCAUGUAUUACUCUUUCUCAUUUAUAAAGAGGACAACCUUAUCAUUGUUUUGCACCAUGGCAGUAAUGUUAUCGUCAUUCUUCUGGCCACUUGUUUCACCUUUGGCCUUUUUUGGAUUUGGGCAAUCUCUUUUGAAGUGACCUGGUUGAUCCCAAUUGUAGCAAUUUCUGGCUCUUAAUUUGGAUAGGUUCUUAGAGUUCCCACGAGCUCCGGAUCUACCAUAGUUGCUCGAACUCUUUUGAUAACUCAUGCCUCUACCUUCCGUGAUGAGAGCCUGUCCUUGAUUUUCAGGCUUGUUUCUCAUCAUCUCAUUGAGUAGAAAAGUCGAUGUGACAUCUUUUAACUCAAUGGUAGUCUUACCGUACAGGAUGGUUGUUGCCAAAUUAUCGUAUGAAGAUGGCAACGAGUUCAAUAACAAAAUCGCUUUAUCUUCUUCCUCGAUUUUCACUCGAAGGUUGGCGAGCUGCGUGAUUCGUUCAUUAAACACAUUUAAAUGUGCCAAAAAUCCAUACCUUCACCCAUGUGUAGGGCGUAUAACUGCUUCUUCAACUAUAAUUUAUUUGUCAGUGUUUUGGACAUGUAUAGGCUUUCCAACGUUGUCCAAAUUACACGUGCGGUGUCUUCAUCAAUGUUGUUAUUCACCACAUCAUCUAAUAAGUGCAACCUAAUUGUACUAGUAGCCCUUUCAUCCAAGUCAUAUCAAUCCUCAGCUUUCAUGGUAUCAAGCUUUUUAGCAUCAUCAUCUAGUACUUUGUGUAAUCCUUGUUGGAUGAUCAGAUCCCUCAUCCUUCUUUGCCAUGUUGAGAAACCGCUAUCUCUAUUAAACUUUGCUACCUCGUACUUUACUCUGGAUAUUUUUUCUUUUUCACCGAGUAUAGUACUACCGAGAGUGAAUAGUAUUUCAAUGAAUGAGCAGAACCUGUGCUCUGAUACCAGUUGUUGGGAAUCAACCCCCUACAGAAAUAAUAUUCACGGUAAUAAAAGAGGAAUAAUAACGUAGCACCUAAGAUACGGUAAUUAACAAGAAUAAAAGAGUAACAACGACACCAAGAUUUUUACGUGGAAAACCCUUCUUGAAUAAGGAAAAAAGUCACGGUCCUCAGAGGAUCAUCUGACAUCACUAUAGCAAGGAAUUUUACACUUUGUAGUUCUGAGUAAAAUACUCUAAAGACCACUACAAAACUCAAAAGAAAUAACCCUCUUUUGAUAUUUCCAUCUCACUAUAAUAUCGCUCACUCUCUAUUUUUCUCACAGACUAUUUUCUUAUACCCUAUCUGUGAAACCUCACUCUUUCUUUCUAACUCUCAAAUAUAUUUUUCCUCUGAGAUUGGGUGUAUCGAGAUGAGAGCUGAAGCUCUCCUUUUAUUUGCAGAGCCUCACUCUCUCACGCCUACCAUAUUUGCCAUUUUUCCUUUCUGCAUAACCUACCACAUUUGACACUACCUACAAUGUUGACAAUCCAAAAACAAAAGUGGCUGACAAUAUACAAAAAAAAAGACAAAGGAAGAAAGUUAUCUUCCUUAAUUUAUGGGAUGAUGUCACGACCCCAAAUAUACUAAGGGUCGUGAUGGCGUCGGACACCGCUGUCAGACAAGCCAACCAUAAAUACUUAAAUAAAUUCUCAUUUAAACAAUUGUGAAUAACUCUGAUUUUUUUUAAUUUUUACUAGUAAAAGAUACUCUGUUCAAAUUAAAUAUACAUGUCAUGAAGUCAAUACAAAAUACCCCAUCACUAUCCCAGAACCCCGUGUCACAAGUGCAUAAGCUAUUUCUAGGAAGCAAUACAAUACAACAACCGUCCGGAAUACAAAUUGGACAGAAAAUAAAUACAAUAAUCCGGAAGAGAUUCUGCUGGCUGCGGGUCAUCUCGAGAAGUGCAGCUCACCUAAGUCUCCGCAUCAACCAUGCUGCUACGCCCGCCAGGUCACUAGUGAUGCAUGUGCCUGUGCAACAAAAAUUCAUAGCAAGUGUAGUAUGAGUACGAAAACAAUGUGUACCCAAUGAGUAUCCCGUCUAAUCUUGAAGAAGUAGAAACGAGAGGUCAACUUCGACACUUACUAGUGGUCUAAUAAUGAUACAUCCGUAAUAUAAUGAAUCGAGGAUUUAUAUAAACAAGAUUAGUAAUUCAAUAGGGUGAAACAUGUAAACAAUUCUUUCUUUUAUGUGAAAUUUCCAAAUUUCCUUUUUCAUCAUUUAUACACAUACUCUCAAGCUGGGAAGGGGCAAUAACAACUUCAAUAAGUUUCACGGCAAGACAUACAAGCAUGCGCAAAUCAUGUCGAGGUCGUACGGCCCGAUCCAACAGAAAUGUAAAAUGUGCACUGCUAGAGGGUCGAAUGGCACGAACCAUAGAUGUAUCUAUUUAAUCUACCGAGACAUUCAGACCGCUCCGAAAUUAAACACAGACAGACAGUUAAUCAAGAAGUCAACAGGGAACAAUUAUCCAAAGAAACGCCAAUUCUCUUUUAUAGAUUUUUGAAAAUGAAGUUUAAAUCUUUUUAGAAAUUCAUUUACAAAUCCAAUAUGAUUUAAGCAAUUCAAACGGUCAUCAAGGUUACAAGUAUUCCAAGUAUAGCAUGCUUUUGGGUCCUAGACUACCCGAACUUACACAUAAUAGUAGCUACGCACGGACUCUCCUCACCUCGUGCGUACGUAGCACCCACAAAUAGGAGCACAUAACCAAUUAUUUCACAUAUGGGGACAAUUCCCUCUUACAAGGUUAGAAAGGAGACUCACCUCGCUCCGAAGCCUAUAUUUCAAUUCAAGAACGUGCUCAAACCUUCAAUUUGGNNNNNNNNNNNNNNNNNNNNNNNNNNNNNNNNNNNNNNNNNNNNNNNNNNNNNNNNNNNNNNNNNNNNNNNNNNNNNNNNNNNNNNNNNNNNNNNNNNNNNNNNNNNNNNNNNNNNNNNNNNNNNNNNNNNNNNNNNNNNNNNNNNNNNNNNNNNNNNNGUCCGAUUGACCUCAAAUUUUGCACGCAAGUCAUAUUUACCAUUACAGACCUACUCCAACUUUCGGAAUCGAAAUCCGACCCCGAUAUCAAAAAGUCCACUUCCGAUCAAUCUUCUCAAAAACCUUCAAAUUUCUAUCUUUAGCCAAAUGACUCCAAAUUGACCUACGGACCUCCGAAUUCACUUCCGAUCAUGCUCCCAACUCCAGAAUCACUAUACAGAGCUACUCCCAGACUCGAAAUCCCAAACGGACAUCGAUAACACUGAAAUGCACUUCAACCCAAACUUAUGAAAUUUCUUCCAAAAUGCUAACUUCCACAAUAGGCGCCAAAACGUUCCCGGGUCUUCCAAAACCCGAUCCGGACAUAUGCCCAAGUCCGAAAUCAUCAUACGAACCUGUUGGUACCUUCAAAUCCCGAUUCCGAGGUUGUUUACUCAAAAGUCUAAUCUUAGCUAAUUCUUUCAACUUAAAGCUUCCGAAAUGAGAAUUCUCUUUCCAAAUCAACUCCAAACUUCCCGGAAUUCAAUUCUGACCGUGCACACAAGUCAUAAUACCUGAAGUGAAGCUACUUAUGGCCUCAAACUGCUGAACGACGCGCUAGAGCUCAAAAUGUCCGGUUGGGUCGUUACAUUCUCUCCCACUUAAACAUACGUUCGUCCUCGAACGUGCUAAGAACUAUGCUGGAGUUGUCCGAAAUCACUAUUUAAUACCUCGAGCACCUAUCCGUGCUACCACAACUCUGUUGAGAACCCUAGCUCGAUCAAUCUGAAGAUGUCCUUUUUCACUUAAGCAACUAAACCUUAGAGCCCAAUUCCAACAUCCGGAAUUCUCUGCCAGGCCUGUUUUAGCAUACGCUCACCGAGUCAAUAACUACACGCAACUCCAAAACAUGACUGCAUACCUUGGCUGAACUCACACCUUGCACCACUUUACUCACAUGAUCAGAAUAACAUUCUUCAAUUAAUUUAGUCAAAAUUCCACGAAUCUGAUGCUCCCAUUGCACCUCAUGAUAUAUAUAAGUCUUGCUAUAACUCUUAUAAUACCGCCACGAUGGAAGAGAUGUGUAGAAAUUCAUAACCAACUACUAGAUCAAUNNNNNNNNNNNNNNNNNNNNNNNNNUAUUCUAAUUAGUAAAUUAAUUUCCCAACCCUAAAUGCAAGGUUCAUAAAAUUCAUCCCCGGGCCCACAUGCCCGAAUUCCGGAAUAUUUUGAAGGAAAUUGUUACCCAUGACCUAAAGAUCAAGAAUAUAUGAUUUUUACAACAUUCCCUAACAAACUUUGUGGUUAAAUCUUGUUAAAAUUCUAGGUUUUCCAUCUAAAACCUUGAUUUUUCCUAAUUUUCACAUGUUAAUCUACCCAUAAUCUAUGUAUUUAACUUAUGAUGUGUAGAAAUUACUUACCUCUUUGAUGAUGAUGGAAUCCCUCCUCAAAUGCUCUAAAAAAUCGCCUAAGGCCAAGUGGGAAAUGAGGGAAAUGGGCUAAGUCUCAGAAUACUGUACCAGACGCAGAAGUCGCAUUUGCGACUCCAGGCUCGCAAUUGCGAGGUCACAUUUGCGACGAAUGCACCGCAAAUGCGAAGCCCAGCUUGCCCUGCCAUGGUCGCAUUUGCGACAAAAUUCUUCGCAAAUGCGAAGAGGACAUCAUCGCAAAAGCGAUGGCCCUCUCGCAAAUGCGAUCUCCCCUCAGCAGCCCCCAGGUUCGCAAAUGCGAGCCCCCUCUCGAAAAUGCGAUGUCGCAUUUGCGACCCAAACACUGCAAAUGCGGUCAUACCAGUACCAACAGAAUCAAACCUUCUCCAAAUUCCAUUUUUGAUCCGUUAACCAUCCGGAAUCCACCCGAGGCCCCCGGGACCCCAACCAAUCAUACCAACCAGUCCCAAAACAUAUUACGGACUUGCUCGAGGCUUCAAAUCAUAUCGAACAACGCUANNNNNNNNNNNNNNNNNNNNNNNNNNNNNNNNNNNNNNNNNNNNNNNNNNNNNNNNNNNNNNNNNNNNNNNNNNNNNNNNNNNNNNNNNNNNNNNNNNNNNNNNNNNNNNNNNNNNNNNNNNNNNNNNNNNNNNNNNNNNNNNNNNNNNNNNNNNNNNNNNNNNNNNNNNNNNNNNNNNNNNNNNNNNNNNNNNNNNNNNNNNNNNNNNNNNNNNNNNNNNNNNNNNNNNNNNNNNNNNNNNNNNNNNNNNNNNNNNNNNAUAUUGCACUGAUCCUAAAUCCAAUGAUCUCGUCUCACCCAGUACGAACUGCUCAGGUAAUAAGCCAUCCCGGACAUGAUCAAAAGUCUCAUAUGAUGCCACAAUGUGCCAAUAGGCUACCAAUUCGAACGUGAUACAAAGGAAAAUGAACUCUGAAAAGGAAAUCCAAUUGCCCUGCUCACGAAUCAUACAUGCGACGCUGUCAACAUAAUUAAACAAACACCCCGUUCGCGAAUCAUGCAUGCGACGCGGGCACACAACUAAUAUGAGUUUUCCUCAGAAAUAUAGGAAACAAAACACAUAAAAACAUAUAUAGGAAUCUGUACUCAACAUCACGCUAUUGCGGCGCGCAACCCGUUCCAAACAACAUACCCGUGGCGGCGUGCCACCCGAUCCACACAUAAAAUUCACAAAGGAGUUACACACCGAGCCAGAUUGCUCAUUACAACAAGAUACGGAAUAUCGGUCACAAGCACACUAAGUGCAUAAUACCAUCCCUGGGGAGACAUAUAGCGUUGUAGGCUACAAAACCCAAGCACAACUGAGGUGCGAUAUACGAUCUGAAUCUCGAGAGCCAUCUUGCUCACAUAACAUCAUCUCUGCGCGAAACCUCAACGCAUAAGAAAUUCACCAAGUCAUCUCGCAACUCAUACUAUGCAAUAUAUCAUUACAUGAAAUAGCCGACGACGAAAUAGUACCCCAACUACUCUUUCAUAAGGAGCGCAUUGCUGAAAUGAACACAUCUGGCCUGAUAUAGAGCCCAUAUUCACAUUUAGAUCCAUCCACAGACCUCAAGUUGAUUCUGAUCACACUGAACUAGUCUAAUAACCUUUCAAAGGUCCAUAAUAACUCCCGUUUUUCUCAUAACACCCGAGAACUACCAUCAUGACCAGAGUAAUCCUCCACAAUACACAACCCAAUAAACCGAGUGCCCUCCAGGCAUCAAUUCUCAAUUUAGCGACAUCACUACAAUCUUCAUACUUGGUUUAACUCUUGAAUCAAUCAAGUGACUACAUGCCACACUUAUAUAACCUUCCCGUGGGGCACGCUCCCACAACCUUCUGUAACAGAUAACAGGUAUGUACAUCCAAACCACCAGUCGUACUAAACCUGAAAAGUGAUCAAGAAUCCUUAACCAGGAUGCAAAGCCUUUUUCGCAAAGCACCAAUCUUAGGUGACAUUGAGGACAAUACCAACUUACUUUAAACAUCGAAACUCCCUUCCUACUCAUCCGAGCCCGUGACAUCCUUGUCAACACCGAACUGCAACCUUGAUCCUUACUUCAAUUUCCAUGCCACUUACUGCACCUAUCAUGCCAAUAUGCGAUAGAACACGAUUUUCAUCAUAACUCUCGAACCACUAAUAAGUUAAUGCUUCAUCAUAUAAAAACUUUUCACUAAACUCACUUCAGGAGAACCAUAGUAACACACAGGUGAAUUCUCAUAACCGUAGAAUAUGCAAAUCUCUAAGUAGUGGUAUAAGCCACCAUAGCCCUUCCGGGAUCUGCCUCCACAUAAUAGGCCAUAAUAGUAGAAUGCUUCUGAAUAACAUCAAUUACGGUGGCCGACAAGCCUCACACGUUCCGUCACAAUAACUUGCAUAACUUGAUCACGCUGAAGGAACUGAUCACUACCACCAAUAUUCCAACUCAACUAUGGCUAACCAAUCUAUCUUCUUCAAUUUAUCCUUGAUUGCCUUAGAAAUAAUAAUAACUACAUUCAACGCAUAACGCACUCCAUCCGCACUCAUCCCGAGUGACCUUGAAUCACGAGACCAUGCUAUCUCAAAUCCCACGAACCAUUUCAUACUCCCCAAUGGCUACACUGCAAGUCAAAACAUCAUAGGAUAUUCUAUUCCUCAUCUCAUAAGCUGCUACAAAGCUUUCUUCUUAACCGUACCUAUAGGCUCGAAAUCAUUAGGCACCACACUUUACCCCUUUGAAUCCACUAGGGAUAUUGUUGAGAGCCACCCGCUCUGACUUGGCCCCGAAUAUAAUCAACUCUAUAAAUCUUCUAGAACAUGAAUACCCUCUCAACGAAGCACCUGGCAGAAUCACUUCCCUUGAAACCCGCACCUAUACAAGGCAUAAAUCUUGAAUCCUUCCCCAAGUCUGAACGUGAGCUAAUAAGGCCAACCAUAGCACACCUUUAGCAAUUCUUUUGCUCAAAUUACCACUUAUGUUCUUUUCCUGUAGCUAAAAUAACCCAUCAAUAUGCUAAUAACCAUAAACCUCGCAAUUAGUUAACCAUGCAACCCAAUCAUAGGCGGAGGGACUCUCCCACAUAGCUCGAAACCACUAUUACAUAACUCUGGAAUUCACCAGGAUUCUUUAUCUCUUAUUGACAUAACCUUGCGCAAUCAACCGCUAAAAUUUUGGGAAUCUUCCUGUAAAACCCUUUUUAUACUCUGAAUCAUCAGCCACAUUCGCACGACCGAUCUCUUUGUUGUACAACCAAUAGAAUUCUUCACAAAAGCCUCACCAACCACGCGACCGCUAACCUGCUCAUAGGGAAUAACCCACCUGUGGAAAUCACUUCCCGACAUCUUCCAACGCUACUACACGGGGUACAAUCACUACGACAUCAAUAACUCAUCCUGAGUUCGGGCUCACUCUCUAGCUGCACAAGUCCAUUCACCCCUCGUGGACAUCAAUUAAAUGUGCGGCAACAUCCUUCCAAUUCAAAGUUAUGUUGUAUCCUUCUUCAUUUCAAGAAGCUCUUUCCCGUUAUAUCAAAUCUUCUGCCGCAUAAUAGCCCAUACUUCAAAUUAAAUCCGUAGACCCAAUCACCAAUCACUAAAAUUCCCAAAUCAUUCCGAACUCUCCUUAAGGUGCAUAGUCAUCCUACCACAAAGCCCACACGCAACUCCGCCACUAUCCCACUUUGGAGGAACUCACCCCUUUAAUCGACUACUCGGCCUUUGCUUCUUAUAACUCGCCUUCUAGAAAUUUUAACCACCGCCUGACAUUCCUCACAUGUCCUUUUCUCAUCCUCCGCUGCUCAGUUGUUGCCUUAAAUUAAAUCUAUCUUCGCAGCACUUGAACCCUCAAAUCGCUAGUAACCUUAAACUUUUUCGAAGAAAAUCUUUCUCGAGUCGUCAACAUUAGAAACACCGAUUCAAUCCUGAACCACCGUACCCCGCGAUCUUUGAUAGUCGUUUCUCCCAUAUUAUUUCAUAAUAUCUUACCCCAAAGGCGAAUUGCAGAAAACCAUAACACCGGCGAAAUUAACACAUACAAUCGAGGACAACGACACUACAUCGGAGAUGAAAAUUCCACCACGCUCGAAAAUACCAAGUCUCGUUACUCUACCACCCCAAAUCUGGACAUUCAUAGGCCAAUUGCUUUUCCUCCGCCGGAAAUGAAAUAUCAGAUCUCUGAACCGUGCACUGAGUAGACUUCCUUUCAAAUUAUUCACCGCCCCAACACAUAGGCAAGUAUCCUACCAUCAAGUCAAUACUGUGCGAUAACCAAUCAUGAGUAAUCAUAGCGAUCUGUGCAUAGUCUCAAAGAUCUCAGGAAUACUGUUACUGACCUGAAAUGACAAGAUAUCCUCCCGCAAGGCAACGACAAUAACCCAAUCAACAAUAUGGGGAGAAACAUCCCGCACCAUAUCUGUAGUGCCAUUACAAUCCUUCAAUUCUCAAUUUAUAACCAGCAGUUCGCGUCGCGUAAGAUUGAGUAGGAAGGAAACAAUGGCAUAAGUCUCAAGGAAUCAAAGCCGCACGAUAAGGAAUCAAGAAGGGAAGUACUCCUAACAACCCUGUAGCCUCUCAAAGAUAAGUACAGACGUUUCUGUACCGAUUCGCAAGACUCUACUACACUCACUCAUGACUCAUGAUACCUAAGGAAACCUAGUGCUCUGAUACCAUAUUGUCACGACCCCAAAUGUACUAAGGGUCAUGAUGGCGCCGGACACCGCUGUCAAGCAAGCCAACCAUAAAUGCUUAAUUAAAUUCUCAUUUAAACAAUUGUGAAAAACUCUAAUUUUUCUUCAAUUUUUACUAGUAAAAGAUACUCAGUUCAAAUUAAAUAUACAUGUCAAGAAGUCAAUACAAAAUACCCUAUAACUAUCCCAGAAUCUGGUGUCACAAGUGCAUGAGCUAUUUUUAGGAAGCAAUACAAUACAACAACUGUCCGGAAUACAAAUUGGACAGAAAAUAAAUACAAUAAGCUGGAAGAGACUCUGCUGACUGCGAGUCAUCUCGAGAAGUGCAGCUCACCUAAGUCUCCGCAUCAACCAUGCUGCUACGCCCGCCAGGCCACUAGUGAUGCAUGUGCCUGUGCAACAAAAGUGCACAACAAGUAUAGUAUGAGUAUGAAAAUAACGUGUACCCAAUGAGUAUCCCAUCUAAUCUCGAAAAAGUAGGGAUGAGAGGUCGACUUCGACACUUUCUAGUGUUAUUAAUGAAUCGAGGAUUUAUAUAAAUAGGAUUUGUAAUUCAAUAGGGUAAAACAUGUAAACAAUUCUUUCUUUUAUGUGAAAUUUCCAAAUUUCCUUUUUCAUCAUUUAUACACAUAUUCUCAAGCCGGGAAAGGGCAAUAACAACUUCAAUAAGUUUCACGGAAAGAAAUACAAGCAUGCACAAAUCAUGCCGAGGUCGUACGACCCGAUCCAAUAGAAAUGUAAAAUGUGCACUGCUAGAGGGUUGAAUGACGCGAACCAUAGAUGCAUCUAUUUAAUCUACUGACGCGUUCGGCUCGCUCUAAAAUUAAACACACAUAGACAGUCAAUCAAGAAUUCAACAGGGAACAAUUAUCCAAAGAAACGCCAAUUCUCUUUUAAAGAUUUUUGAAAAUGAAGUUUAAAUCUUUUUUAGAAAUUCAUUUACUAAUCCAAUAUGAUUUAAGCAAUUAAAACGGUCAUCAAGGUUACAAGUAUUCCAAGUAUAGCAUGCUUUUGGGUCCUAAACUACCCGGACUUACACAUAAUAGUAGCUACGCACGUACUCUCCUCACCUCGUGCGUACGUAGCCCGCACAAAUAGGAGCACAUAACCAAUUAUUUCACCUAUGGGGAUAAUUCCCUCUUACAAGGUUAGAAAGGAGACUUACCUCGCUUCGAAGCCUAUAUUCCGAUUCAAGAACGCGCUCAAACCUCCAAUUUGGAGCCGAACGAUCCAAAACUAUUCAAAUAAGGUAAGAACUAGUCAAUACAUGCUCAAAAGUUCAUAUUCUAAUUAUUAAACCAAUUUCCCAACCCUAAAUGCAAGGUUCCUAAAAUUCAUCCCCGCGCCCACGUGCCCGGAUUCCGGAAAUAUUUGAAGGAAAUUGUUACCCAUAACCUAAGGAUCAAGAAUAUAUGAUUUUUACUCCAUUCGAUAACAAACUUCGUGGUUAAAUAUUGUUUUUACCAAAUUCUAGGUUUUUCAUCUAAAACCUUGAUUUCCCUAAUUUUCACAUGUUAAUCUACCCAUAAUCUAUGUAUUUAACUUAUGAUGCGUAGAAAUUACUUACCUCUUUGAUGAUGAUGGAAUCCCUCCUCAAAUGCUCUCAAAAAUCGCCUAAGGCCAAGUGGUAAAUGAGGGAAAUGGGCUAAGUCUCGGAAUAAAAGCACACUGCACCAGACGCAGAAGUCGCAUUUGCGACUCCAGGCUCGCAAUUGCAAGGUCGCAUUUGCGACGAAUGCACUGCAAAUGCGAAGCCCAACUUCCUCUGCCAUGGUCGCAUUUGCGACAAAAUUCUUCACAAAUGUGAAGAGGACAACAUCGCAAAAGAGAUGGCCCCCUCGCAAAUGCCAUCUCCCCUCAGCAGCCCCCAGGUUCACAAAUGUCUCGCAAAUGCGAUGUCGCAUUUGCGACCCAAACACCGCAAAUGCGGUCAUACAAGUACCAACAACAUCAAACCUUAUCCAAAUUCUAUUUUUGAUUUGUUAACCAUCCGGAAUCCACCUGAGGCCCCUGGAUCCCAACUAGUCCCAAAACACAUUACUGACUUGCUCGAGGCCUCAAAUCAUAUCGAACAACGCUAAAACCAUGAAUCACACUCCAAUUUAAGCUUAAUGAACUCUAAAAUUUUAAACUUCUACUUUCGGUGUUUAAACCUAUCAAAUCACGUCCGAUUGACCUCAAAUUUUGUAUGCAAGUUAUAUUUGCCAUUAUGGACCUACUCCAACUUCCGGAAUCGAAAUCCGACCCUGAUAUCAAAAAGUCCACUUCCGGUCAAACUUNNNNNNNNNNNNNNNNNNNNNNNNNAACUCCAGAAUCACUAUAUGGAGCUACUCCCAGAAUCGAAAUCCCAAACGAAUAUCGAUAACACUGAAAUGCACUUUAACCCAAACUUAUGAAAUUUCUUCCAAAAUGCUAACUUUCACAAUAGGCGUCAAAAUGUUCACGGGUCUUCCAAAAUCCGAUCCGGACAUACGCCCAAGUCCGAAAUCAUCAUACGAACCUGCUAGAACCUUUGAAUCCCGAUUUUGAGGUCGUUUACUCAAAAAUCCAAUCUUAGCUAUUUCUUUCAACUUAAAGCUUCCGAAAUGAGAAUUCUCUUUCCAAAUCAACUCCGAACUUCCCGGAAUUCAAUUCCGACUGUGCGCACAAGUCAUAAUACCUGAAGUGAAGCUGCUCAUGGCCUCAAACUGUUGAACGAUGUGCUAGAGCUCAAAACGACCGGUCGGGUCGUUACAGAUAGAGCCCACACAUCCAACAAAGUUUUCACAGUCAAUAUUAAUGAAAACAAGAAACAUAAAAUUUUAAAACUUGGAAAAUGUUAAGGAAUGCAGUUUAGGAUUGCAUUAUUAAUGUUGAGGAAGUACUACCUUCGUUCAAUAUUAUUUAUCUUUUAUGAUUUUUAUACAACCAUUCAGAGUCGGAUCUAGGAUUUUAGUAGGAUGGGUGCACUAUUAAGAAGAGAUAGAUCUAGAAUAUAAAUUUUACGGGUUCAUCCUUUAGUUCUUACUAUUGCGCACCCAUUAUGCAGUAGUAAUUUUCUUACAUUUAUAUCUAUUUUCCAUAUUGAAAAUAUUGAAAUUAGUUGAACUCAUUGACUAUAUGCUACAUCAUAUAUGGUUACUAAUUUUAAAAUACACAUUUUGUUUAACCAUAUAAGAUUUUACAACGACAAAAAAAGAAUAGAAAUUUUAAUAUGUGAAAAUUUUGAAAGAAUAAACCUAACAAUUAAAGAAAUAAAAAGAAAAAGUACUUAAUUAGUAUCCAAAAAGUAACACCAAACACGCUCAUCCCCAAUGGGCGUCUAGUUCUAGAAAAGAAAAGAAGUUUAAAAAUAAGAUUGACAUAAGAAUUGAACUCACAAUCUCACCUAGAGAGAUACACCUAAUAAUCAUCACAUCAUAUAAUACUUUGAGCAUGGUCCACACAUAUACAAUUAAAUAUAUUUGAAAAAAUAUAACAUUACUAUACAUGAUUUAGGGAUAGAAGUUUGGGUUCACGUGCCCCAUGGAACCCUCCCCCCUCCCCCGAUACACCCCUGCACCCAAUAAGAAAGAAAUUUAAUAUUUUAAUUAUAAGAUUAUUUAUCUAACUUGCCCUUAAUAUCAAAUGUCUCACUUAAUUAACGCUUCACUAAGUAGAGUAGUAAGGGUAAAUUUGGGAAAAUGUAAUAAAUACUUUUUGUUUUUCCUAAAUAAUAAUACUUUAGAACAAAUUCACCAAACGAUUAAUAUUUUGGGAUCGAAGGUAGUACAAUAAAAGAGUUUUGUGUAAAGCAUGAGAAAUUAUUCUUUGGUACUUGUACGGAAUGGAAGCCUAAGCUAGUAUCAGCAAACUUGAUCACACAAGAAAUCAUUAUAUAAUUUCUUCCCCAAGUUUAUUUUUUUAUUAGACCAUGCAAUACUUUUGCUAAAGUAGACCUUAAUUUUUUUUCUUUUCCUUUUAGGUUGUGGAGUAGGGGGGUGGGGGUGGGGUGGGGUUGGGAAUUGUUGAAAAAUAUAUUAACACUUCAUUAAGUGGAGCAAUAAGGGUAAAUUUUAAAAAAUAAAUAUUUUUUUCUAAAAUAUUAAAUACUUAAAACAAAUUUAGUUUGACAAAACGAUUAAUAUUUGAGAUCGAAAUACAUCAUACAAAGGUUUUAUGUAAAGUAUAGAGAGAUUAUUCUUUGGUACUUGUACGUAAUGUGGAGCGGGGGUGGGGGUGAGAAUUGUUGAAGAAUAAGUUUGACUUCUACUUGAAGAUACUUGAUACCAAACAAGUAUGCCUAGUUGCAUUGACAUUUGUAACCUCCAAACCCAAUGAGUUCAAAGCCUCCAAUAUCCUCGCAAAUCCACUUGCCUUGUGCUCACAAAAUACAUUUACAAAAAACUCAUUCCCGUCCAAUUGUGCUAUUUCCACUUAUGGCUACACAUCAAUAAAUAUAUGCAUUCACACCAUUGUAGACAUAAUUGAAAAUAAAAAUAAAAAUCUAUUUGUAAGGAGUUUAAUUUUUGUGCACUAACAAUGUGAAAAAAAUUACACUAUGAGGUCACCAGAAAGAAAACAUGAACAAGUUAGUAUAUGCUGAUAAUAAACAACAACAAUAAAUUCAGUGUGUGACGAUGACUCGUUUUCUCUCGGUGCACUUUAACUAACGUGCGUUGAUCAUGGGGAAGAGGGCACAUGUUCCAUCUCAGAAGGCUCGAAUGGUGAAGGAAACAACACCUAAGUACAAUCAAAAUCGAGGACAACGAGCUCAAAGCAUCCAAUUGAUAGAAACCCUAGGUGAACAGGAAAGCAAUGCAACAAUAAUUUCGGUAGGAGAAUCAGAGAAGGCGGGCUAAUUGAAAGCAGCUCAACAAUGGAGUGAGAUAGUACAGUCAGAAAAUAAGCAGCAAAGUCCUUCGAGUAGCGGGAAUAAGUCUUGGGUUGAUCAGGUGGAGUAGGAACUCGAGCAACCAACAAAACAUAGCUCGAUUUAGGAGAAUUUUAACAUCUCAAAACUAUCGAAUGUAUAAUUAAAACUUGAGUAUGUAGCUCUUAAAGUACAAGGCGAGACACCAAUUGUAGACAUUGUGUUAGAAGACAUUGCAUAUGAGAUUGAAUAUUGGAAGAAUGUCGUGGUAUAUUAUGUGUUGGGAGCUCGUCCCCCAUUUCCGGUACUCAAUGGGCAUAUACAGAGGAUCUGGGCUAAACAUGGGAUCAAUAAAAUUUCAAUGCUAAAAAAUGGGAUUGUACUAAUGAGGUUUGAUACAGAAUUGGGGGGAAAUGAAGCAAUUCAGGGGAAAAUCUAUUACUUUGGCAAUAAGCCAUUCAUUGUUAAAGCUUGGUACCUAAACAUGGAGUUUAUGAGAGAAGAAUUAUACAUUGUGCCGAUUUGUAUAAAGUUUCAUGGAUUGGAUUUCAAGUAUUGGAGUCCAAAAGUCCUAACAAGAUAAGUAGUCUGAUGGAAAGCCAUUGAUAGUAGACCAAAAUACAGAGUAGAAUAUAGGGCUCAAUUUUGCUCGGUUACUGAUAGAAGUGGGAAUAGAUACAGUAUUACCAGAAUAUUAGAAAUGAAAAAAGGAUCAGUAACAAAACGAAAGGUGAUCUAUGUCUGAAAGCCAACAUUAUAUAAAUUCUGCAAGAAAUAUGGUCACUCCGAAUCUGAAUAUUGAAAGAAGAUGGGGCCAAAAACAGAUGAGCAAGCAGGAAAGACAACACAAGAAGGAAUAGGGAGUGAUAAACCAAAUUCUGAAGAUCCAAAGGAGAAGAAGCAGAUUCAAAAAAGUGGUGAAGGACAAAAAAACUUCCCCUGAAAGAGAAAAUACAAGAGCAUGCAAACUCUAUAUGGAUAAUACCAUCAAGAAGGCAUGCAGGAAGGAUCCAAAACAAGCAUACACAACAUGUGACAAGUAGCAAUACCUUUCAGGUUCUCCAAAGGACUAAGCCGGAUUGUAGCGGUACAACAAAUAUAGGAGAUAAUUUAGGAGGCCAACCCAUUCCUCAUUCAGGGAAUGAUUACUAUACUCUGCCGGAAUGUUAGGGGCUCAAUGCCCCAAAUAAACAAAGGGAGGUCAAGUCCCUUUGUAAUGUUGAAAAAGUUAAUCUAGUAGGAUUGUUAAAGAUAAAAAUAAAAAGUAACAAGUACGAAAAAAUACCUAGUGGUAUGUUUAGUGGAUGGAAUAACAUAAAUAAUUUAGGAGAUCAUUACAAUGACAGAAUCUGGAUAAGUUAGAGGCCAGACUACUAUAAUAUUCAGCUUAAAAUGAGCGCAGCUCAAGUAAUUACAUGUGAGGUAACAUACACUCCUAUGCAAUUGAGGUUUUUGUUAUCAGUAGUGUAUGCACAUAAUACUAGAGAUGAGAGGAAGGAGCUAUGGGAGGCACAAGAGCAACAAAGCUCAACAUGUCAGCAACCUUGGUUAAUCUUAGGAGAUUUCAAUUUUAUUUUGAAUGUUGAAGAUAGAAUGAACGAAUCCAGUAACUUGGGUAGAAGUUGUGGAUUUUCACAAUCGUAUGGAUACAUGUGGUUAAUUGAGCUUCCUCAAUAAGGACAAAAGUACACUUGGAAUGAUAGAAGUGGUGAUGAUAUAAUUUUCUCUAAAAUAGAUUGGAUGUUCAUUAAUGAAGUUUUGCUAAAUAUUAUGCCUGCAUGUAGAGCAACCUUCCUACCUGAAGGCAUCAGUGAUCAUUUUCAACUAAUGUGAUGUUAAAUAAGGUUAAUUUCAGAAGGAAUAGAGCUUUCUAUUAUAGCAAUGUUUGGGCAUAACACCCCUUAUUUCUUGCUAAGGUCAGGAAAGUAUGGGAUGCACAAAUUUAUAGUUAUAGAAUAUAUCAACUAUUGCAGAAAUUAAAACAGUUGAAAAAGAAGAUGAAAGAGUUGAAUAAGAAAAAAUGCAACAACAUAGUGAAGGAAGCAGAUGAUGAUAAAGUAUCACUGAAGCAAGCUCAGACAUUAUUGCAAUGUGAUCCUUUAAAUGCACAACUCCAAGAGGAUGAGAAGAUUAAAUUUCAAAAGUUCAAGCAAUCUUCUUUCUUAGCAGCGAUGUUUUUGUGAAUAUAUAUGAUAGAAACUUAGGGUUUACCAAACUGUAUAGAAAAACUAUUUUUCUAUCAGUUUCCACAGUACACAUACAAUCAAGGAUAAGUAAAUGAUAUACCAGAGCUUUACGUGGAAAACUCCCAGCUCACGGGAUUAAAAACCACGACCUACACUCGUAGGAUUUCAACUUCACUACUGAGCAAACUUCAGAUUACAAACUAUUGUAUCCUACGAAUUAAAAUCUUAAUCCUUCACUCACUUGUAAUAACUCUAUUACAAGUCUCUUUGUAAUAACUCUAUUACAAAGCUCACAACUCGACUAACUCUAUCUAAGACACAAACACAACAUUUAUGGUUUUACAAAUGGUUUCAUACACAAUCCUUAUUGCUAAAGCUAAGUAAGAAUUACAAGUAGAUUGCUCUAACAAAGGUAUAACACAUCUAAGGACAUAUGGUAACACGGUGCUAGAAACUAGUCCUUCGUUGUGUUGUUCUUUUAUUCUUGAAGCCUUGAAGUCACUUGCAAGAUGACAGCACACUUGAGAGAGAAGCUUGAUGAUUUUCCGAGUGUUCAAGUGUGUGUUUUUCUCUUGCUUCAUGUUGAUAAUAUACAAGUGAUGUCACUUGGAUGAUGCAAGCAAUUUGUCCGAUACAAAACAUUCCUCAUAAAGAGACAGCUGCACUGUUUGCCCUGUUGCUUGUGUGUAGAGGAAAAACUGCAGCGAUUUUAUAGCUGUGGGGAGUUGACUGGUAUAGUCAGCUAGGGAACUGAUGUCCAUUUGUUCCCUCUAUCAUCUCAUUGACUCUUGUUGUUAGAACUUGUGCCCGACUUGAGAUUUAUUGUUCUUAAGCACUUUGAGGGUGUGUAACAGGUUCCCGAUUAGGUUCUUAUCAUUAAGUUUGUUAAAUCAUCAAAACAUAACAAGGCACAUAACUUAUCAAUUUCUCUCUUUUUCACGAUGACAAACUUAUAAUUGAAGUUCCCCAUGAAAACUAGAUCACCAUACAAUUUUCCUGUAUUCCCACUAAACUUGUUCGCCCUCUCAAUUAAUUUUCCCCUUUUUUGGCAUCAUAAAAAGAUUAAUCACAAGUAAUAAGCAAAAAAAAGUCCAACAUGGUUAACUCAUGACACAUGUGUGCACUCAAACAUGGCUAAAAAUAAAGCAUAAGAGUAUAGCAUGCAAAGUAAAAGGACGGGAUGCUCAUUAAUUUUAAAGAAAGGAGAACAGACAUGGGGUGUGUUUGGUAUGAAGGAAAACAUUUUCCGGAAAAUAUUUUCCAAUUUUUCCAUGUUUGGUUGGCUUAAAUGUUUUGGAAAACAUUUUCCUUAUCAAUUCAUUUUCCUCCAAUUGGAGGAAAAUAUUUUCCUUAUCAAGAGAAGGGACAACAUUUUCCAAAGCUUCUUAUCAACCUUCCCCACCCUCACCAACCCACCCCACCCCCUCUCCAAAAAAGGUUCUUUUUUUUCUUUCAAAUUUUAAUUUUUCCGUUACUACCCAUCCUACUAACCCUCCAUCCCCCGCAAAGAAAAUAUUUUUUUACCUUAUUUUUUUUUGUAAUUUCAAAUUUCUGUUUUUUCAUUUUUCUGCACCACCCACCCCACCCCAACCCCACCUCCCCCCAACCCCGGAAAAAAAAAUUUCAAUAUAUUUUUCAGUUUUAAUUUUUUUAUUUAUCAGUUUAAAGACUCAAAAUUUUACAAGUUCCAAAAUUAUGAGUUCGGAGGUUUAUGUGUUUGGAAGUUUACAGAUUUAGAGAUUAUAAAGUUUACGGAUUCGAAAUUCCGCGCUUUUGAAAGUUUAGCGAUUCGAAAGUUUAUGAAAUUUAUGGGUCUGGAAGGUUGUUGGUUUCAAAGUUUAUGGCUUCAUGCUUAUUAUAUUUAAAUUAUUUAUGAAUACUCUUCAGAAGUCAUUUUCCUUAAUUUGCGUGUCAAAUACCGAAAUAAGAUUACUACUUGUUUUUCAAGAAAACAUUUUCUUGAAAAACCUUUUCCAUGGAAAACAUUUUCCCUUAUACCAAACACACCCAUAGUAAUACCAUUUUUACACAAACAUUCACAAAAUAAAGCAACUUAAAAGUACCAUCCACAAAAACAACAAACCAAAAGGGACCAAGGUGGUACAUAUAACAUUUCUUGGACACUAGGAAGGGAACUGUUUUAAGGAGCAUAGAAGGGGGAGGCAGGUAUGAAGAAGCAAAGGUUCUGAGGAGAAUAUCCUUUCGAGCAUUUGCAAAUACUUUCUCGCAGCUGCUUCUUCAGGUCCUCGACCUGUUUCCUGAGAUUAGCAUUUUCCUUGGUCAGACGGGAAACCUCUGUGCCUUGUGCACUGAUGGAACCAGGUGCGUCCUAGGCCUGACUAAGAUACCUUUCAAGAAUGGAAUUCCGUGCCUUCAACCUCCUUAUAUCCUCAUUUGCAGCAUUCUGAACAUCAAUCAAUUGAGAGACAAUGGAAUUGCUGCCAAACCCUCAUUUCUUACCAAUACACUCACAUUCUUCUAAGGUGGUCUUUGAGAAGGCCUACUUGCGAGUUCCCACUAUUGCAUUUUUCAAAGGGACUUUGAAGAAGUUAUACACUUUAGUGAGUAAGAACCCGUAAGGCAGCCCAUGAUUUACCAUCCUUAAAGUCUGCCACUUUGUUCAUAUGCUUUAUCAUGAGACCAGGAAGAUUGAUAGUAGUGUAGGCAUCUAGUGCUUCCAUGUGGAAUAGGUCUGCUCUUGACGUAAUAGAAUGCCUUUUUGCACGUGGAAGCAAGACUUUGUUCACCAUAUCGAACAACAAUUAAUACACUGGAAGUAGGGCCUUCUUGUGCACACUUUCCCCUUGCUCCACAACAUCAUCCUUCAGAAUGGCAUUUCUAAAAUUGGGAGAAUAAGUCCCCUCAAUGGAUGAGAUCCUUCCAGCAGGCACUCCCAAAAUUCUUCCCAACACAGCCUCGUCCAUCAGAAAAUCUACUCCGUUGACCUUUAAACAGAUGUUGUCAUACACCAUAGGGCUUUCAUUGGUGAAUAAUUGUGUCCACUUUUGAAACUCACAAAUAUCAAGUAGUUGAUGCAUCCCUGUCAUGUCAAGAAUGUCAGGAGGAAAUGUUCUGCCCCAUAGUACCCUCUGUUUUCUCAGGUUAUGUCUGCCUUCAUCCUUGGCCACACUCACUUUGGCCUUCUUGGAGGAAUCAGGUUCCUCGUUGUCACCAGCCUUACUUUUCACAGUCUUUCUUAGACUAUUGUCUUUCUUUGCAGACUUCUCAAACAAUCUCUCACCAGACUUUUCAGACGCUUUUUCACUAGACUUUUCUACCUCAACAUUUUUCACUUCCAUAGUUUUCACGGAUGUCUCUCUAAUAGGUUUUGGAACCACAAAUUUUUUAGAGGACUUACGAAUUAAGGAACUAGGUUCCUCAUUCACCUAUUCAUGGUCAACAUCAACAACAAGUGUUGGAGGCACUUCCUUAUCAUUCACCAACUUUCCACCCUUCACCAACCUCUUUUUUUCUUCUCUUCUUUGUUUUUCUUCGGAACUGAUUCAAGGGAUUCCUUAUUUUGCAACCUAGUAGUAGGUCUUUUAAGAGUGGGAUCUUUGGGAGUUGACCUUCUACUCCUACCCGCAAUGAAGCUUGCUACAGAUACAUUGUCAGUCCUCCUCACUAUUUUCAUUUUAUUCUUCAGAAAGAGAUCUUAUCUCAGGAAAGACAAUAGUUAACGGCUCAGCAUUGAAGUGAGGAGAAGGAGCAUGAUCAGUACUGACCUGGGGCUCUUUUUAGGAGCAGGGAGUUUCAUCCCAAGUAAGAGCAGAGGGGUACUCUUGGGCUGAGGGAUCAAGUCCCUAAUUUAUUUCCCCAAUAGUAAUGACAGGUGCCAGAUUUUCAAGGGGCACCAGUUUCCUACCCUCCUCCUGAUGACCUUCACCUUCCCCCUGAGACCCAAUGGUCUCAUUAAUAUCCUCAUAACCACCAAUAAAAUCUCCCUCUACAACGAUUAGUAACAUGUUCUCAAUGGCUUCUUAUUCAUUCACCCCCAAAGCAGAGUCAGGCGAUAUAAGAGAAACAUUACCUAUAGGAUUGUCAAUAUUCAAAUCAAAGCUUGGAACGAGCGGUGCUGAGUCUUCACUACUGUGAACGACAUAUUGUUGGGCUUCAGGACUCUCCACAACUUUCUGACUAGAAAAUCCUUACCUUCGUCUUCGUCUAUUAUUUUGCCUUCUGCCAUUUUUUCGGUGAGUUAGAAUGAGAGGUCACAACAAUAAAUCUUUUGGGGUUCUGAGUCUUACGACUGCGAUGAGAACCAAAACUCGAUUGGGUUAGAGAGGAAGUAGUAGGUGUUUGUUUGUCUAGUAGGGGGUUUGAUAGGGUGAAAAAGGGGACUCAAACUCUCGCUCCUGUGCUUCAUGAGACGAAGACACAGUGGGGACUACAGUAGAAAUAUUUGAAACUUCUUAAUUUUGAGACAUAGUGGAGAUUUGCAGUAAAGAAACGAGAAGUAGAGUGUUUCUUUGAGAGAGAAAAGAGAAUUUUUGGCUUUGAUGAGGAUAGUGAGGAAAGCGACAGUGUUUGGGUUUAUUUAGAGAAAGUAAGGGAUCGGUUACAAACGAGUAUGGAUUGUUGAGUAGACGGAUCGUUUAAUAACGGGUAUGACGUUUGAGUUCUAAAGAGAUGAGAGAGAGAGACUAAAUAUUUUAAUGACAUGGCACUUUUUAUAGCCAUUUAAAAAUGUGCAUGAGAGUAUAAAGGAACUGCUAACCUGAGUCUAGGGAACCAGGUUCCCUGACUUAGUUUUGUAAGUGUGAGCCUCAUCCUUUUACCAAGAUGCAAUUUCAUUAGCUGCUUGUUAGCUCUGUAAUUUUUAUGUGUGUCUGCCUGUCACAGUAUACAAAUGAGUUAAA